GAUGAGUAGGCGUCGAAGAGCUCGUUGAGUCGGCGUCUAGGUGCCGUAGUUGUUGUUUGUUGUAGUGAUCGGUCGGUGAACGUCGCCGACUUAGAUGUUUGGAGCGACAGAAGGAGUAUUAUAGUAGUGUUGAUGGUUUGUUCUAUGUGGUUUGAUGAAGAUAUUGAGUUGUUGUUGAAGCUUUCAUGAGAUUUGUUGUUGUUUUAAUGGAUUUAGAGGUGAUGGAUAAUGGUGGUUUUAUGAAAUUUUCUUGUAGCAAGGUUUUUUAUAGUUGUUUAGAGAUGAAGAUGGUGAUGAAGAGUAAGUUGUAAUGGUGAUUUUUAUGAUGAGCUAUUGAUGGUGGUGUUUUCUUGAGAGUGAGAAGGAAAUGUGAUGGGUGUUUGCACCAUGUAUUAGUGCAUGAAAGAAGAAAAAACGUGUGUCUUUCAAUUUAAGAGGAAAGAGUUUAUUCUAUUUUCUUUUUAUUGUGGCCCGCGUGUCGCUUCUUCACCGGAGGGAGAUCAUUUAUUUUUUUCUUGAAACAAAUAUUUGCUAUGCUUCCACAUCUCCAUUUCCCUUACCAUUCAUUCUCUAUUGCAAUUGGUAAAAGAUAUCUUCAUGUAACCAAAGAAAUAACGCCACAUGGCACUGAAAGAGAGAGGAUUUUAUCCAAUCUUUUUACUUGAUUUUGGAAUUUAAAAAAUAAAUCUAUCUAAUGAAAUAAAAAUUAAAAGAACAAAUAAAAAAAACAAACUAGGUACUUAAAUAAAUUCUAAUUUAUUCUACUAAUUAUAUUUACUAAAAAAUAAAAAUAAUCAGAUAAAAAAAAAUUCGGGCAAAAAAAUGUUCGAAAAAAUAAAUUAACUGCACCAAAAUUAUCAGCGCGAAAUACACUAUUCGAAAACAUAUAUGUUUUGAUCGAAAUUUUGAAAUAAAAAUUGACCGGUUAAAAGACUCAGGUUGAUCAGAACGCGAUCGAAAAAGUAGUCAAAAAAUUAAAACGAGCAUACUAGGUUAAACUACGCGGAACGUAGAUUAAUAAAACUGACAUCUGCAAGCUCAAAUUUGAAAAUUUCCGCCCGCUAAUUCGUCAUUCAAUUGAGAAACUAUUCGAUCGGUCUCUCUGUAGAUCCGAAAAAUUUAUCUGGCCGAUAUUUCAAGUGUUAUGUGAAACAAAAUGCAUGAUAUGACAAGUAUAAAAAUGUAAACGUCUUCUAAAUGCACUGAAUUUCUAAUUGAAUAAUCGUAAAUGGAUAAUCAUAUGCAAAUGAAUCGCCCUUGGACCAUUUACUUUUGAUUCUCCAUCACAAAUAAAACAUUUCAAAGAUUCAGAUGACGACAAAACUCUUGAUUGUCAUCCUCUGAACCUUUGAAAACACGAUGCAAUGGAAUGAACGAUGCUAUGAGAUUGAGAAAUCAAGUCUUUCGACUUCUUAAUCAAUAGAUAACUGAAUGAAUGUCAUCAAGACCAAUAAACUGCCAAAACUCCAAACUUUUUAUCUAAACCCCAAUGAAUGCUUUUAACUGAUGAAAAUGUAUGACAAAAAUGGAUAAAUUUAUGCUAUGUUUAUGCGAGUGAAAACUCAUGGUAAAAUUUAGGGUAUGCCACAACACACACUCUAUCAUACGCACAUGCUAUUAGGUGACCCAUGUCAAGGAAGCACAUCCAUUUUGCCUCUGGUGCCGGACCGCUAAGGCAAGGAACAAGAGACUCGUAAACUUCAUCGAAUGUUUCUUUCUUUCCGUACAACUGUGUGCAUGAUUCUUUAUACGUCAUGAACUAUUGGAUAAGUUGAUGGAAGACAAGUGUAUGAUUAUCUUCUCAUUUACCGAGUAAAUUCGAAAUUGUUCGAUAACUACAAUUACUACCCCCCGUAACAUUGACGAUUCACUCGAUGUAUUUGUGCAUAAAAACGGGCACCUCGUCGAUGAAUGGAAUUUUUUGUGGAGGCGGCGUAUGAGGUGGUUUGCUAAUGCGAGGUCCUUUGAAAACACUUUUUUGAAAUUUUGGAGUUGGUAAGUCGGGAAAAACUUUGUCAACAUGUUCAAAAAAUGAAGGAGAUCGUGUAGUCGAAUUGUCAUUCAGUGUUGGCUUCAUUUUCUUCGGAGCACCUUUUGUUUUUACCGGUUGAGAUGGUGGUUUCAUGUCGAUGCUUUCCGGAUAGGCAAUCUUCCUCAAUUGUUCUUUGAUGUGGAGUUUCAAGUUGUCACCGACUUUCAAAAGUCUCUCUUGUAUCACUUCUCAUUCGGUCAUAAUAGAGAUAUUCGAUUUACCGUCAUUCAUGACACGAUCAUCAUCAAAUGAGUGCAAACCUCAUCCACUGUUAUUAGGCUACCAAGUUUCACCUUUUUUGCAACAACACAAGCACAUGAGAGACCAUAUGUUUUCACAAUUGUGCAUGCACACUUUGCACUAUCAGAGCCUACAUAUCAGCUCGUUUAGCCUCAUGAAAAGUAUAAUUCAAACCCGCACGAGAAAUGUUAUCGACCAACUGAGAAUAAAGAGUGUUGUCUUUAAAUUUGUAUUCCAAAACUGUGAUGCUCCGAACAAAUGAUGUGUGUAUCUCAUUAUACUGGUUUUGAAUCAUGUGGUACACAUAGUCUCAAUCUCUACACAAACCGCCCUUACUAUUUCCCAACCAAUUUUUCAAAGUAGCAUGGGCAGACUCAACUCUGUUAGUUAUUGUAUUUCUAAGGUGUCUAACAUUAUCAAUCCAUGCACAAACAAUUUUCUUCUUUACCUGGUCAAGAAUUGUGCUUUCAACAUAUUUCAACAAAUCCGGAUACUUUUCAUACACUUUCCUGAAAUGCAUAACAGAAGCGACAUAUAGUUCUUUUAUGAAAGAAAUUAUUAUACGAUUCCAUGCAUCAAUUAUUUUUUCCACAACCAGACCCUCCUUCCCCAUUUUCCCAUCUUCAGACUCUAUUUGAUUCGUCCCUAUGUUAUGUGAUACCUACAAAGUAAUGAAUUAGAGGAAGAAAAUACCUUUACAACCGAUUUCAUCAAGACGGUAUCGCUGUCGGUAACAAUCACUUUAUGCAUCUUACCUUGGUCUUUCAAUAGUGUCUGACACACCUCUAAGGCCUAAGUAAAAUUGUCUUAUUUUUCACACUCAAGAAAUACAAACCCAACUGAAUAUCUCUUCUUAGUUGAUGUAACACCAACCAUCUCCAAUAAUGGAAGUCUAUACUUGUUGGGUUUGUAGGUUGAAUCAAGUAUGAGCAUGGUAGGAAACGUACUGAGCAACUUUAUGGAAUCAGGAUGAGUCCAAAAUAUAUCUCUAACAAUAACUUCAUCCUCGCAAGUUUGGUACCUAGACACGUAAUCGUUAUCAUCCAACAAUUUCAAGAGUUGUUGCAUUUCAAUUAUACCCCCUUAAGCGCCUUGUUAGUUUGAUACCGAAUAUUAUACACUUGCUUGAUAUUUGAUAUAUUUUCGGGUCUUUUCCGUUUCAAUAUUGCAAGUAUAUUUUUCGGUUGAAUCAAAUUCAAUGUCAUGUCAGCAACACAUCCUUUCUCUUUCGGCAUGAGCCGACACACACUAGGAUGACUGGCUAAUUUUUCACAAAAUCAUGGUUAUGCAAACCACAUAUGACAUUAAAUCUCCAGUUUUUAUUUUCCAACAUGUAACCACGCACCUUAAACAAACAUUCACAUUUUCUUGAACCGGUGCCGUCUCUUUUAAAAAUAUGGAGUGGAGUUCUAUAUCUCCAGCUUCUUUCGCACGUCAUUAUCACAAAAGUGCACCUUCUAUCUGAACCGUUAUCGGGCCUUCCAAUAGCCACACUAAAUCAAAGUUUAGAGACCUACAUAUGAAUCCAUUGAAGCAUUUGAUCACAAGAUUCAAACUCUUGCUCAUUUUUAAAUUGGUUCCCAACAUAUACCGCCCUCACAACAACACCUUGGACAUUCGGAGAAACAACUUGUUUUGAGAAAACAUCGGGGUGCACCAUAUCUAAAGAAAAUAAUUACAACAUAUACGCGCCACUGCUGAAAACAAAGUUGGAAAGUGAACACAAAUUAGUUCCAGAAAUGCAUCUCUGAAAAUGUUCAUACUCGUUCUGGAGAUACAUUUUCGGACACAACGCUCAUUUUUUCAAACAAAAUACAUGAUUAAUAUGAGAAAUGCAGUGUGAAAUAAAUGAUCUUUACAUGAAAUUAUAACUUCUUUUGCUCCCUUUGAUAUGAUGAACCACAAGUUUAGAGAUUUGGAGUGAAAAAAUAGAUUGAGAAUGGAAAGGUUUUUGGUAAGGGUUUGUAGAGAAAAACAACAAUGACAAUAAUGGUUGUGUGAUCAUGCAACUGUUUUUUUAUCAGAUUAUUCCGGAGAUGCAUCUCCAGAAAUAUCUCACAUGAAAAGGUGACAAAAUAUUUCAAAAUCCCAUCCAAACUUCCGAAGAUGUAGCUCCAUAAAUUCUACUGAACUGAUCAAUUAUGAAUAUAUUUCUUGAAAUGUUCUGGAGAUGCAUCUCCGGAAUAAAAAUAACCCAACUUAUAGGGCGCCACUCAUAAUGGUGUGUGUGUGUGUAUGUGUGUGUGUGUGUGUGUGUGUGUGUUGUGUAACACCCUUCUAAAAUACCCCAAAUAUUUAAUUAAAAUAACAACAUAUAUCAAUCAGAGUAGAUAUGCAAUUACGGGUGUCACACAAUUACUUCACAACUUGAGUUUGGUGUGUGAGAGAUCACAUAGUGUCAAAUUGGGAAUGUGAAACUAACAAGUGGUAUUUGGAUGAGAUCAGAGAGGUCAGAAAUCUGAUGUGCUUUUGGUUGAUAAGUUGACUUUAGUGAAUCAAGGUCAAGGUGGUGAAUUCAGAGUUGAUGAGAAUGGUAUUUUGAAAUUUGGUAAUCGGGUGUGUAUUCCGGAUGUUGCGAGCUUAAGAAGAGUAUUCUUGAAGAAGGACAUCGUAGUGGUUUGAGUAUUCAUCCUGGAGCUACGAAGAUGUAUCAAUGAUUUGAAGAAGUUGUUUGGUGGCGGGAAUGAAAAGAGAAAUUGCGAGUUUUUGUUUAUUCCUGUUUGACUUGUCAGAAAUCAAAGAUUGAGCAUCAGAAGCCGUCUGGGCUAAUGCAACCGUUGGCUAUUCCAGAGUGGAAGUGGACAGUAUCAGUAUGGAUUUUGUUUGGGUUUACCGAGAACAAGUUAAGAAUUUUGAGGCUAUUUGGGUGAUUGUGGAUAGAUUGACAAAAUCGGCUCAUUUCAUUCCGAUCAGAAUGGAUUAUCCGUUGGAGAGGUUAGCUGAAUUGUAUAUUGAGAAGAUUGUAAGUCUACAUGGUAUCCCGUCGAGUAUUGUUUCGGACAGAGAUCCUAGAUUUACAUCGAGUUUUGGGAAGUUUGCAGAGGCUUUGGGAACUAAGUUGAGAUUAGUCUGCAUAUCAUCCGCAGACUGAUGGUCAGACUGAGAGGACGAUUCAGUCAUUAGAGGAUCUUUUGAGACUGUGUUUUGGAAAGGGAGUGCUUGGGAUUGUUAUUUACCUUUGGUUGAGUUUACUACAACAAUAGUUUUCAUUCGAGUAUUGGUAUGGCACCGUUUGAAGCUUGUGUAUGGUAGGAGAUGUCGACACUUUAUGUUGGUAUGAGUCCGGUGAGAGUGCUGUGGUUGGACCAGAGAUUGUCAACAGACUACUGAAAAGAUUAAGAUGAUUCAGGAUAGAUGAGAAUGCUCAGAGUCGUCAGAAGAGUUAUCAUGAUAGAGGAGAAAGUCCUUGAGUCCAAGAGGAGAUCAUGUGUUUCUUCGUGUACUCCGAUAACUGGUGUUGGUCGAGCCUGAAGUCAAAGAAGCUGACUCCUCGAUUUAUUGGUCCUUAUCAGAUUUUGGAGAGGUAGGGGAGGUAGCCUAUCGUAUCGCUUUACCGCCGUCACUUGCGAAUUGCAUGAUGUUUUUCAUGUGUCUCAUUGAGGAGAUACGUUCAUGAUCCGUCGCAUGUAGUCCAAGUAGAUGAUGUACAGGUGAGAGAUAACCUGACUGUUGAAACAUCACCUAUGAGGAUUGAAGAUCGAGAGUUGAAGCAGUUGCGGGGGUAAAGAGAUUGCCUUAGUGAAGUAGCUUGGGAAGGACCAGCAGGUGGCAAUGUGACUUGGGAACUUGAGAGUCAGAUGAAGGAACUUAUCCAGAGUUGUUCGCUUGAGGUAUGGUUCGAGACGAAAACUCUUUUAGUGGGGAGAGUUGUAACACCCCAAUUAAAAUAAGAUAUUAUUUAAUUUAAAUUAAUAUUUUUUUAUUAAUUUAAUUGAAUAAUUGGAAAUUUGGAUUAUUAUUAUUAUUAUUUUGGAAUAAUAAUUAUUGGAAUAAUUAUUUAUUGGAAUAUAUAAGUUGAAAUAAAAGUCCCAAUUUGGAAAAAAGGUUUUCACGUGAAAAGGAAAAGAGAAGCGGCUGAAAGAGAGAGAAGGGCAAAAGGCAGAGCAAGAGAAGAGGAAAAGCUUGAAGCUGCAGAAUUGCCGGAUUAACUCAGUAAGGGGGUUAUCAUCGGUUAAAGGUAUAUGAUAAUAUGUACUGGUAGUGAUAACCAUUGUUUUACCUCUGAUUAGAUGGAUGCAUGAUGAAUUGUGAAAUAUUGGAUGAAUGAAAUUGGAUGAUAAUUGAAAGGUUUGGUAGGAAUUGGAUGUAAAGUGUUAGAUUUGUGUAAUCGAAUAAGAUAGGAAUUGUGUGGAAAAUAUGGACGAUUAUUUGGUGUAAAUUGGACUGUAGAAGGUUGGAUCGGAUAGGUUUCGUAAUAGAGAAAGUCAUUUGCAGAUCUGGAAAUCUGGUUCUAUAGCAGAGGGUUCUGUUUGCGCGCGAUUCACGCGCGAAGCCAGUGCCGCGAACUGGCAAAUCCAGAGGGUUCUGUAACGCACCGUUCGCGGCGCGAACCCUGCUGCGGCGCCAACUGUGCUGUGCAGAGUUGAUGUUGGAUGGUGAAUUCCUGUGUGGUGGUGAUGCAGUUUUGGCUGUCUAGGCUGAAUGAUGUGACUUAGCUGAGGACCGAUGUAAAGGGAUCAUUUCCCGUUGUUUGAGUGGCAUAGUAUUAGUAGGGUGUGCUAAUACUAUGAUUAAUUUAUGCAUGAUAUGAUAGCUUUCGUGAUGAAAUGUGUUGAUGAUAUGUGAUGGUAUGCAUAAUGCUGUGAAUGUAUCGGUGAUGUAUGCAUAUUAAUAGACUGUUGUAUGGCUUAGAGUGUGAGCAUGUGUCUAUUCUUGAAUUGUUGUUUGUUGUUGCCUUGCUAGAUGAUUAGCGCAUGGCAUAGCCUGUGGGGCUGUAGCUAAUUCCCAUUGUGAGGAAUUAGUGAGUAAAAUAUGGUGGAGUUGUUGUUGAUGUUUGCAUACUAGAUGAGUAGUGUGCAUAGUCUAGCCUUUGGGCUGUAGCUAAUUCCAUGGUGAGGAAUUAGUGAGUGAGUCAUUAGAUCUCAAUGAGUGGGACUAGUGAGCUCAGUAGCCGUAUCCGAGGGAUCGGUGAGCUUGGACUAUAUGUUCAAGAAGAGUUGUACCGCAUUUCAUGGAGUCUCAUUGCAUAAUGAAUGCAGCAUAGCCUGUGGGGCUGUAGCUAUUCCAUUGUGAGAAUUAGUGAGUAAAUCGUUGUGUUGUGUUGUUGGUGUUGAAUAUGGUUUGAGACUAUACAUAGAUAUAUAUUAUUGUUGAGUAUAAUGUUUGCGUUGAUACUGCCGUUAUGGAGUGUGUAGUCUGGUUAGGGUGAUUUGAUGCGUUAUUUACUUAACAUUACAUAAUGUUGUAUAAUGCUUAUUAUAUGAUUGGGAACUCACUUACAACUAUGUUUUUCAGUAACAGCAGUGAGUUGAGUAGAAGCUAGUCCUUGGAGUCUAGUGUCGUCCUUAGUGUCAUGCUCUGGUAGAUGUAACAUCGGGAGGGGAUGUUUUAAUUAUUUUGAUGUUGAUUGUUGAAUAUUUACAUGUACUGUGGUACAUGUUAUUACAUGAUUGAAUUGAUUUUCUAUCCGCUGCGAAUUAUGCAAAAGUGUCCUAUUUUGAUUAAAUAAAUGAGCAUGACAGGAUAUUUGAUGAAUAUUGUGUGACACCCUUCGGGGCAUAUACUCUGAUUGAUAUGUUUAUAUUUAAUUAAAUAUUUGGGGUAUUUUAGAAGGGUGUUACACUAAUCACCUAGCAUGCAAACAUCAACAACAAUCCACAUACCCACAUCACAAUUCCUNNNNNNNNNNNNNNNNNNNNNNNNNCCAUUCACCAUAUAACUGUCAUGCUUUUUAUUAAUUCAAAACAUAAAGCAUUUGCACAAUACGCAGCGGAUAGAGAUAAAUCAAUCAUGCAAACAUGUAGCAUAUACAUGUAAACUGGUUCACAACCAACAAUAAACAUUUAAAACAUCCCAUCCGAUGUUACAUCUACCAGAGCAUGACCACUAAGGAACUACACUAGAUCCACAGCACUAGCUCCUACUCAAUCACUGCUCGUUACCUGAAAAAUAGUGUAAGGGUGAGUCUCAAUCAUAUAUAAGCAUUUAUAAAAUAUCAUGCAAUGUUAAGUAAUUUAACACAUUUCAUCACCCUAAUCAUAACACACAUUCAGUAAACGGCCAAUCACUCAACACUCAUACUCAACACCAACAUAAAGCACAUGUAUAAUCUCAUUCAUACUCACACCAACACAAAACACGUAUAAUAUUGGAAUACAUCAUUCAUAUUAUACGUCAUACAUACAUUAUGCAAUGAGACUCCAUGCAUCGCGUACGACUAUUCGUGAACAUAUAGUUCAACCUCACCGAUCAAAUCCAGAUACGGCUACAAGUCACUAGUCCCACUCAUUUGACCUAGUGACUCACUCACUAAUUCCUCACAUGGUAUAGCUACCACCCAAGGCUAUUGAUAUGCACCGCUAAUGUAACACCCCAAUAAAAUAAGAUAAUUAUUUAAUUUAAUUAAUAAUUUAUUUAUUAAUUUAAUUGAAUAAUUGGAAAUUGGAUUAUUAUUUUAUUAUUUUGGAAUAAUAAUUAUUGGAUAUUAUUUAUUGGAAUAUAUAAGUUGGAAUAAAAAGUCCCAAUUUGGAAAAAAAGGUUUUCACGUGAAAGGAAAAGAGAAGCGGCUGAAAGAGAGAAAGGGCAAAAGGCAGAGCAAGAGAAGAGGAAAGCUUGAAGCUGCAGAUUUGCCGGAUUAACUCAGGUAAGAGGGGUUUAUCAUCGGUUAAAGGUAUUAUAUGAUAAUAUGUACGGUGGGUAGUGAUAACCAUUGUUUUACCUCUGAUUAGAUGAUGCAUGAUGAAUUGUGAAAUAUUGGAUGAAUGAAAUUGGAUGAUAAAUGAAAGGGUUGGUAGGAAUUGGAUGUAAAGUGGUUAGUUUUGUGUAAAUCGAAGAUAGGAAUUGUGUGGAAAAUAUGGACGAUUAUUUGGUGUAAAUUGGACUGUAGGAAGGUUGGAUCGGAUAGGUUCGUAAUAGAGAAAGCAUUGCAGAUCUGGAAAUCGGCUUCUGUAGCAGAGGUCUGUUUGCGCGGAUUCGCGGCGCCGAACUGGCAAAUCCAGAGGGGUCUGCUAACGCACGUCGCGGCGCGAACCCUGCUGGCGGCCGCGAACUGUGCUGUGCAGAAGUUGAUGUUGGAUGGUGAAUUCGUGUGGUGGUGAUGCAGUUUUUGGCUGUCUAGCUGAAUGAUGUGACUUAGCUGAGGACCGAUGUAAUAGGAUCAUUUCCCGUUUUUGAGUGGCAUAGUAUUAGUAGGUGUGCUAAUACUAUGUUAAUUAUAUGCAUGUAUUGAUAUGCUUUCGUGAUGAAAGUGUUGAUGAUAUGUGAUGGUAUGCAAUAUGCUGUGAAUGUAUCGGUGAUGUAUGCAUUAUUAAUGACUGUUGUAUGGCUUAGAGUGUGAGCAUGUGUCUAUUCUUGAAUUGUGUUGUUGUUGUGCCUUGCUAGAUGUUAGCAUGCAUGCAUAGCCUGUGGGGCUGUAGCUAAUUCCCAUUGGUGAGGAAUUAGUGAAGUAAAAUAUGGUGGAGUUUUGUUGAUGUUUGCAUACUAGAGAGUAUGUGCAUGUCUAGCCUUUGGGCUGUAGCUAAUUCCAUGGUGAGAUUAGUGAGUGAGUCAUUAGAUCUCAAUGAUGGGACUAGUGAGCUCAGUAGCCGUAUCCGGAGGAUCGGUGAGCUUGGACUAUAUGUUCAAGAAGAGUUGGUACCCGCAUUUCAUGGAGUCUCAUUGCAUAAUGAAUGCAUGGCAUAGCCUGUGGGGCUGUAGCUAAUUCCAUUGUGAGGAAUUAAUGAGUAAAUCGUUGUGUUGUGUUGUUGGUGUUGAAUAUGGUUGAGACUAUACAUAUGAUAUAAUUUAUUUUGAGUAUAAUGUUUGCGUUGAUACUGCCGUUAUGGAGUGUGUAGUCUGGUUAGGUGAUUUGAUGCGUAUUUACUUAACAUUACAUAAUGUUGUAUAAUGCUUAUUAUAUUGAUUGAGAACUCACCCUUACAACUAUGUUUUUCAGGUAACGAGCAGUGAGUUGAGUAGAAGCUAGUCCUUGGAGUCUAGUGUCGUCCUUAGUGGUCAUGCUCUGGUAGAUGUAACAUCGGAGGGGAUGUUUAAUUAUUUUGAUGUUGAUUGUUGAAUAAUUUACAUGUACUGUGGUACAUGUUAUUACAUGAUUGAAUUGAUUUUCUAUCCGCUGCGAAUUAUGCAAAAGUGUCCUAUUUUGAUUAAAUAAAUGAGCAUGACAGGAUAUUUGAUGAAUAUUGUGUGACACCCUUCGGGCUAAUUACUCUGAUUGAUAUGUUUAUUAUUUAAUUAAAUAUUUGGGGUAUUUUAGAAGGGUGUUACAUAGUGGUAUCGAGCAUAGUCGGCGAGUCGAGUCGUAUUAUUCUGUUCUGUACGGGAUAGGUGUUGUGUAACCCAUAGUAUUAUUGUUAGCUUGUGGUGUUUUCAGAUAGAGAUGGCUGGAAGAGGUAGAGAUGAUGCUGGAUUGCUGAGGCUCUGGGUAUGCUAGCUGGAUACUUGGAGGAAUCCGAAUGUUGUGGGAAUGGGAGCUGCUCGUCACUGAGUGAGUUCCAGAAGAACAAUCCUCCAUGUUCAAGGGCGCAUACGACCAAGAGGUGCUCAGAAGUGGUUGAAGGAGAUAGAGAGGAUCUUCCGAAGUGACUGAGUGUGCGAUAACCAGAAGGUCAGGUUUCGGUACGCAUAUGCUGUCAGAGGAAGCUGAUGAUUGGUGGGUUGCUACCCGCACUGAGUGGAAACUGCUGGGAAUGCGUGAAUCACUUGGGCUGUGUUCAGAGAGAGAUUCCUGAGGAAGUAUUUUCCAGAGGAUGUUAGGGAAAGAAAGAGAUAGAGUUCUUGGAAUUGAAGCAGGGUAACAGGUCUGUUACUGAGUAUGCUGCUAAGUUCACAGAGCUGUCGAAGUAUUACUCCUAUAAUGAGGCUGCUGCGAGAAUUUUCGAAAUGUGUGAAGUUGAGGAACGGGUUGCGUCUGAGAUCAAGCAGGCUAUUGUAUCAGGGAUCGAGUGUUUUCUGAUUGGUUGACUGUUGCAGGAUUUUUGAACAGGAUUCCAAGGCCAGAGCUGAGAGCUAUCAGCAGAGGUUGAUAGGAAAGCAAGAAUCAGAUUGAUCGUGGAAACCGUAUGCAGCUGGCAAAGGUUUUCAGAGACAGAGUGGGAUGAAGAAGCUAGUGGGGGAGACUCUAGUGCUCCUGUUAAGUGUUACAGAAUGUGCUCGGGCUGGACAUCGUGUUCAUGAGUGUACCAGUGCUGAGAUGAAGUGUUUCAAGUGGGAAAGGUGGUCAUUUGGCUGCCAGUAUGCGGUUGAAGACUGUGAUUGUUUCAACUGUGGAGAGUGGGUCAUAUCAUCGCAGUGUCCUAAGCCGAAGAAAGAGAAUCAGUCGGGAGCAAGGUUUUUGCUUAUCGGGUUCUGAGACUUCUGCAAUGUCGUGAUCGGUACGUGUUAUAUUAAUGGCUCUUCCUCUUGUAGCUAUUAUUGACAGGGUGCGACUCAUUCUUUUAUAUCUUGGAUUGUGCUGUAACUUAGUUAGAGAUAUCUGAGAUGUUUGUAGUAUGGUGUAUGAUACUCCUGCGAAGGGUUCAGUGACUUACUACGUCAGUUUGUUUAAAUUGUCCUUAGUAUUUUUGGUAGAGACUUGGAUAGACUUUGUGUCUUCCAUUAGUGCCAGAUUGAUGUUAUCCUGGGUAUGAACUGGUUGGUGUUUACGAUUUAUAUCAAUUUUUUGAUAGACUGUGAUCUUUCUGAGAUUGAGGAAGGAAGAGUUUGUUUCUAUCAGCGAGGCACGUGUGAAUGAGGAGUAGCUGAUGGGGCCAGAGCUGUUUAUGCUGUUAGCGACUUUGGAAGCUAAAGAUAAACUAGUGUUGGCGAUCUCGUGUGGUGUGUGAUUUCCUGAUCGUGUUCCGGAAGAAGUGAAUGUUACACCAGAGCGUGAAGUUGAGUUUCGAUUGAUUUGGUACCGUACUAGACCGAUAUCGAUGGCUCUGUACGUAUGUCUGCUGUGAGUUAGCUGAAUUGAAAUCAGUUUGGAAUUUGUGGAUAAGAAAUUUAUUCGUCCGAGUGUGUCACGUGGGUGCACCAGUGUUGUUGGUUAAGAGAAAGAAGUACAUGAGAUUGUUGUGUGGAUACAGGCAACUGAAUAAGUGACUAUCUAAGAAUCGUAUCUUUGCCGAGGAUUGAUGAUUGAUGGAUCAGUUUGUUGUGCGAGUGUGUUCAGCAAGAUAGAUUUGAGAUCUGGUAUCAUCAGAUACGUGUGAAACUGAGGAUAUUCAGAAGACUGCUUUCAGAACAAGGUAUGGACUAUGAGUUUCGGUGAUGCCUUUUGGUGUGACUAAUGCGGGAGUAUUCAUGGAGUAUAUGAAUAGAUUUUCCAUCCGUACCUAGAUCGUUUGUUGUGGUGUUUAUUGAUGACAUUUUGGUGUAUUCGAAAUCUGAGAAGAGCAUGCUGAACAUUGAGAGUGGUGUUGGAGUUCUACGAGAAAGAAGUUAUUUGCUAAACUGUCAAGGGUGAAUUUUGGUUAGAAGAGGUUAGUUUUCUUUGGUCAUGUAAUUUCAAGAGGUGGUGUUGCUGUUGAUCCUUCUAGAUAGAAGCGGUAUCUAAGUGGGAAGCUCCGAAGUCAGUUUCUGAGAAGAAGUUUCUUGGACUUGCAGGUUAUUAUUAGGAGUUCAUUGAUGGGAUUCUCUAAGUUGGUUACCGUUGACGAUGUUGACUAGAAAGGCGCACGUUUGUUUGGGACUCAAAUGUGAGAAGGUUUCCAAGAGUUAAGAAAAGGAAGUUAAACUCUGCUCUCUAUCCUGAUAUUACGAGUUCGUCGGAACUAUUUUGGGUUUAUUGUGAUGCUUCAUUGCUGGUUUAGUGGUGUGUUGAUGCAAAUAAGCAGGUUAGCUUAUGCUCGCGAGACAGUUAAGAGUUAUGAGAGGAACUACCCGACAACAUGAUUGAUUGGCAGCUGUGGUAUUUUUUCUGAAAGUUAUGAGAGCAUUAUUUGUAUGGGUCAGAUUGUAGUUUUCAGUGACAUAAAGUUUAAGUAUUUGUUUGAUCAGAAAGAAGCUGAAUAUGAGGCAGAGGAGAUGGUUAGAAGUUCUGAGGAUUAUGAUUUUGGGUUGAAUACCAUCCGGGUAAAGCAAAUGUAGUGGCUGAUCAUUGAGUCGGAAAUCAUUGCAUAGUCUAUGUUAAUUGUUAAGAACUGGAUUUAAUUAACAGUUUAGGACUUGAGUUUGGUGUGUGAGAUACUCCAAUAGUGUCAAUUGGGAAUGUUGAACUAACAUGGUAUUUGGAUGAGAUCAGAGAGGGUCAGAAAUCUGAUGUGCUUUUGGUUGAUAAGUUGACUUUAGUGAAUCAAGGUCAAGGUGGGAAUUCAGAGUUGAUGAGAAUGGUAUUUUGAAAUUUGGUAAUCGGGUGUGUAUUCCGGAUGUUGCGAGCUUAAGAAGAGUAUUCUUGAAAAGGACAUCGUAGUGGUUUGAGUAUUCAUCCUGGAGCUACGAAGAUGUAUCAUGAUUUGAAGAAAGUUGUUUGUUGUGCGGGAAUGAAAGAAAAAUUGCGAGUUUUGUUUAUUCCUGUUUGACUUGUCAGAAAUCAAAGAUUGAGCAUCAGAAGCCGUCUGGCUAAUGCACCGUUGGCUAUUCCAGAGUGGAAGUGGGACAGUAUCAGUAUGGAUUUUGUUUCGGGUUUACCGAGAACAGUUAAGAAUUUUGAGGCUAUUUGGGUGAUUGUGGAUAGAUUGACAAAAUCGGCUCAUUUCAUUCCGAUCAGAAUGGAUUAUCCGUUGGGAGAGUUAGCUGAUUGUAUAUUGAGAAGAUUGUAGUCUACAUGGUAUCCCGCGAGUAUUGUUUCGGACAGAGAUCCUAGAUUUACAUCGAGUUUUGGGAAGGUUUGCGAAGGCUUUGGAACUAAGUGAGAUUAAGUUUGCAUAUCAUCCGCAGACUGAUGGUCAGACUGAGAGGACGAUUCAGUCAUUAGAGGAUCUUUUGAAGCUUGUGUUUUGGAAAAGGGGUGCUUGGGAUUGUUAUUUACUUUGGUUGAGUUUACCUACAACAAUAGUUUUCAUUCGAGUUGGUAUGGCACCGUUUGAAGCUUUGUAUGGUAGGAGAUGUGACACCUUUAUGUUGGUAUGAGUCCGGUCGAGAGUGCUGUGGUUUGACCAGAGAUUGUUCAACAGACUACUGAAAGAUUAGAUGAUUCAGGUAAAUGAGAAUGCUCGAGAGUCGUCAGAAGAGUUAUCAUGAUAGAGGGAAAGUCACUUGAGUUCCAAGAGGAGAUCAUUGUUUCUUCGGUUACUCCGAUAACUGGUGUUGGUCGAGCCUUGAGUCAAAGAAGCUGACUCUCGAUUUAUUGGUCCUUAUCGAUUUUGGAGAGGAUAGGGAGGUAGCCUAUCGUAUCGCUUUACGCGUCACUUGCGAAUUUGCAUGAUUUUUUCUGUGUCUAGUUGAGGAGAUACGUUCAUGAUCCGUCGCAUGUAGUCAAGUAGAUGAUGUACAGGUGAGAGAUAACCUGACUGUUGAAACCAUCACCUAUGAGGAUGAAGAUCGAGAGUUGAAGCAGUUGCGGGUAAAGAGAUUGCUUAGUGAAGGUAGCUUGGGAGGACCGCAGGUGGCAAUGUGACUUGGGAACUUGAGAGUCAGAUGAAGGAUCUUAUCCAGAGUUGUUCGCUUGAGGUAUGUUUUCGAGGACGAAACUCUUUUAGUGGGGAGAGUUGUAACACCCCAAUUAAAAUAAGAUAAUUAUUUAAUUUAAAUUAAUAUUUUUUAUUAAUUUAAUUGAAUAAUUGGAAAUUUGGAUUAUUAUUAUUAUUAUUUGGAAUAAUAAUUAUUGGAAUAAUUAUUUAUUGGAAUAUAUAAGUUGGUAAAAGUCCAAUUUUGGAAAAAAGGUUUCACGUGAAAAGGAAAGAGAGCGGCUGAAAGAGAGAAAGGGCCAAAGGCAGAGCAAGAGAAGAGGAAAAGCUUGAGCUGCAGAUUUGCCGAUUAACUCAGUAAGGGGGUUUAUAUCGGUUAAAAGGUAUUAAUAUAUAUGUACUGGGUAGUGAUAACAUUGUUUUACCUCUGAUUAGAUGGAUGCAUGAUGAAUUUGUGAAAUAUUGGAUGAAUGAAAUUGGAUGAUAAUUGAAAGGUUUGGUAGGAAUUGGAUGUAAAAGUGUUAGAUUUUGUGUAAUCGAAAAGAUAGGAAUUGUGAUGGACAAUUAUUUGGUUGUAAUGGACUGUAGAAGGUGGAUCGGAUAGGUGGAAUAUAGAGAAAGUCAUUUGCAGAUCUAUCUCUCUCACCAUGGGAAUUAGCUACCACCAUAAAGGCCACAAUAUGCAAGCUAAAUCACUUAGUCAUGCAAACAUCAACAAUCAUCCACAAUGGACAUAUGCUCACACUCUAAGCCAUAAACAGUCCAUUCACCAUUGCAUACAUAAUAGAUACAUCCACGGCAUUAUGCAUACAAUCAUACAUCAUCAACAUAUUUAUCACAUAAUCAUAUCAUGCCACAUAAUCAAUCACAGUAUUAGCACACUCUACUAAUACAUAUAUUGCUCAAAACAACGGGAAAUGAUCCCUACUCUAUCAUACAUCAGCUAAAUUACAUUACUCAGCUGAACAACCCAAAAACUGCACAACAACAGCACAGAAAAAUCACAAUUAUGCCCAUACGCGUAUUGCCUAGUCCCAUACGCGUAUGGCCCAUUUCUCAGCCAAUCCCAUACGCGUAUCACCUGUCUCAUACGCGUAUGCUACGCGUACCAACAGAGACCAACCCACGCUCAAAACAUCACCUUCCUCAUCCAUACGCGUAUUGCCUAGUGCCAUACGCGUACCAGACCAUCUCAUACGCGUAUUGCCUAGUGCCAUACGCGUAUGACCAGAAACCAGAUUUCCAGAUCUGCUAUGGUUUUCUCUACCACGAGAUUCCUCAGAUCCAACCUCCCACAGUCCAAUUUUACACAGUAUUCGUUCGUAUCAUCUAACACGAAUCAUACCCUAUUCGAUUUCACAAAUUCUAACAUUAUUACAUCUAAUUCCUACGAAUUCCCUUCAAUUAUAAUCCGAAUUUCGUUCAUCCAAAAGUUCACAAUUUCCUCAUGCAUCAUUCCAAUUAGAGUCAAAUCAAUGGUUUAUCACUACCCAUUACAUGUUAACCCAUAAUACCCAUUAAACGACGAUAAACCCCCCUUACCUGAGUUAAUCCGGCAAUCCUAAAGCUUCAAGCUUUUCCCUUCUUCAACCUUUGCUCUCUUGCUCUUCCUCUUUUGCCUUUCCUCCACUUCUCAAUCGCUUCUCUGUUUCACGUGAAAAAACCCUUUCUUUACCAAAUGGAACUCUUAUAUAUAUUCCCACUUUAUUAUUCCAAUUUAUAUUAUUCCAAUAAUAAUAAUAAUAAUUCCAAUAAUAAUCCAAUUAUUUAAUUAAAUUAAUAAAUAUAUUAUUAACUUAAUUUAAAUAAUUAUCAUAUUUUAUCGGGGUGUUACAUGUUGGAUGCGUCUGAAGAUGCAUCUUUGAAAACUGGGGGACAUUUUAGAAAAUCGUGUGGUGCGUAAGAAGCAUAUAAGGUGCAUUAAGAAAUCCUCUUAUAUUUGUUGAUGUUGGGUUAUAUUUGUUGAUGUUGGGUUAUAUUUGUUGAUGUGGCUAAUUGUUAUAGGGGAAUGAUAUUUAUAUAAAGGAUAAGGAUAGAAAGAUAGAAGGAUUGCGAUGAUAUUUAUAUAAAGGAUAAGGGUAGCAAGAGAGAAGGUUGAGAAUUAUUCAGUUAAGAACCAAAGUGGUUUGGAUAGAGAGAGAAUUGUCUCUUCUCUGAAGAGCGUAGCCUUGGGAUUGCAAGGGUUUAUUGUCUGCAAUAGUUAUUAUUUUUCCAUUAAUAAUACAAUUUCUUUUUCUCUGGUAUUUUGUUGGAAACUCUGGAUAAUUACACAUAAAGCCAAUGAUGGAGGACAUUUGGACUAUGAAGAUGGAAUCAUUAGAUUUUGUGGAGGCAAAUCUUGUUGGUUGGAUUUAUGUGGAUGGACAGUUAUUCCGAGUUAUUAAUCGUGGUCGCUCCAGGCGCUAUCCCAGGGUUCUCUCCCGGUGUGGUAACCCUCUGCUACGGAGGAGCGACUCGCAUCCUAGUUUUAAAUAACAGUCGGGAAAGCUGGGAUAGCAGGUUAUGGGAGCAAAGCGCUUCCUGACCCAUAAUAGUUUUCUGCUUUUAGAAUUUUUUAAAAACGAAAAGACCUUUUUAUCCGUAAAAAUAUUUAAAACUGGAAAAAUUUAUUAUAGUCGUUCAUAUUUUCUCCUCUCAUUCAUGUUUUCACCUUUCUCCAUCGUGUUUCUUCUACAUUUUUCGCUUGCUACUUCUCUUGCUACUUCUCUUGCCCUAACUCCUCCUCCGCCUCAACUGCUUCAACCUUGUCUCUACUUCUAUUCUUCUUUUUCUCUACUUUUUUUUCUACUUUUCUAUUUUGUUCUAUAUCCUAUUCUUUUGCAUUUAUUGUUUUUCUAUUCGUUUUUAGAUUGUUUUUUCUUUUAUAUUAUUGUUUUUUUUUCUUUUAAAAUAUAUUGAUUUUGAGAUUAAUAUAUAUAAAUUAUUCAUAUAAUUAAUCCAAAAAAAAAAAUAAUCUACCGAUAUACUCCCUCCGUUCUUUUUUAAGUGUCACUUUCUUGAAAAAAAAAAGUUAUUUCUUUUUAAUUGUCACUUGCAAAGUUUAAGGUAGUAUUAAAUAUACUUUUGUCAAAAUUACCCAUAAAUAAUUAUUACAGAGAGAGAAAAAGUAAUUGAAAUGUAAUAAAUAAUUAAGGGUAUUAUAGGUAAAAAAAGAAUUAUUGAUUGAAAACUAAUAAUAAUAAUUAAAUGUCUUGGUAUGCGUAAAAAGUAAAAAAAAAAUCUUAAAAAAAAACAAAAGAAGUAUAAUUAAUCUAAAAAAUUAUCCUUCUAUGAUUUCGCUAUCCCAUUUUUGGAUAGACCUUUCCACUAUUUAGAAUUAAUAAUUAUGCAAUAAUUUGACAAUAACAAAAUCCAUUUUGAGUAUAAAUUGCAGGGGACAUUCAUGAGCAUGGAAGAUGAAGGAUCAAUGUUAUGGUUUUGUCAUUGGUGUGAAGAGAAUCUAGAUUCUGAUUGGAAUUUAUUUGGAGCAUAAAUGGUACAAAAUCAAGAAACAAAGUCGAAACUGUUUCAUUGUUGAACAAGAACCAAAACGUUAUACAAAAGUAGAAUCUGACUUCAAGAGAUUGAUGAUACAUGAAUUCAAACGGAUUACCGAAAACGAGGAACAAGAGCCAUGUUUAACGGAAGAAUGAAUGAGAUCUAAAGAAGAAAGCAGCAUGUGUUUGUUUUUGAGCCACCCGACGCCAACCUUUAUGUGAUUGUUGUCGAACUCCAUUGGAUAAAAAUACCCUUAUAUAAAUAAUUUAUUAAAAGUUAAAAAUUAUAAUAAAAAAUAUAAAAGAAUUAUUAUUUAAUUUUUUAAAAAAAAAAUUCGAUACACAAAAUAAAUAUUAAAAAUAUUAAAAAACUAACUAACGAAAGUUUUUAAAAAAGUUUACCGAUACAUAAAAUAAAUGUUAAAAAUGUUAAAAAAAUUGAUUAACGAAACUCUUUUCUAAAGUCUUCAUACACACACAAAAUUAAUGUUAAAAAUUGACUAACGAAACUUUUUUGCAAAGUCUUUCGAUACACAAAAUAAAUAAAAAAAAAUGAGUAUCAUAAUAAAUCUUUUGCAAAGUAUUAUGAUAUGCAAAAUAAAAAGUUAAAAAACAUUAAAAAAUUGAUUACCGUAAUUCUUUUGGAAAGUCUUCCGAUAUAAAAAAGAAAAAUUAAUAUUAAAAACUGACUAUCGAUAUAUAAAAUAAAAGUAAACAAAUAUUUAAAAAUUGAUUAUCAAUUUUUUUUUAAAAGUCUUUUAAAACACAAGAUACAAAUUAUUUUUUUAUUUUAAAAAUAAUAAAUAAAUUAAAAAUAUAUAUGCGAUAUUUUUAUAAAAUAUAGAUAUAAAAAGAAAGGUAGGGAUAUAACUUAAAAUUCUAUUUAUGUUGUUGGGAUAUAUUUGCUCAUGUGACUAGAGAGCAAUGAUAAUUAUAUAAAGGAUAAGGAUAACAAAAGAGAAAAGUAAGAAUUAUUCAAUUUGGAAUCGAAAUAGUUUGAGCAGAGAAAGAAAUGUCUCUUCUUUGAAGAGCUCAUUGUCUAUAUAAGUUUUUGUUUUUUCAGUAAUAAUAUAUUUUUUUCUUGAAUUUGGAUUCUUAAUGUAUGCACAAUUUCCAUUUAUAAUACAAUUUAUUUUGAAUUUGAAUUUGGGUUCCCAAUGUAUACGCAUUGAAAUCAAAGAUUUGAGUCCUUGUAUCGGUGAGAAAUUGUCGUAUCAAUGUGGUGACAAAGACUAAUAAUUAUCUCUCUCUCUUGUCAUGUUAAUUAUGAACUAUUGGUUUAGGAUCAAGAAUUCAUCUAUAUAUGAUUUGGGCAAUGACUGAAAAGGUAAAGUAUACGAUUCAUUCAUUAUUUUUUCCCUUUAAACAAUUAGUCUUGGAUGAAACACACUAUUCUUUCACACAAUUGAUAACUAGGCAAACCUGAAUUGUAAACAUUUAGGGGGAUUAUUAGUUUGGCAAUUGUGAAGUCUAAAAUACUUUUUUUCUCUAUACUGCACUGAUGCAAUCUAAUCUAAUGAUAUGUAGAGGGGGGAGAUGAUCCAUUGGCUUUGUGGAGGGGAUUGCACCCAAACUUUCUUUAUAUAUAUCUCUAACAAUCCACUCUCUCACCUCACUUUAUCCUCCCUUUUUUCUUUGUUUUCCAAUUCUCUCUCCACAAAAAAUGCCUAAAGUCAAGCAAAGUUAGAGAAGAGAAAGUUAGAGAAUCUCAAUUCCAUGCAAAGGAGAGGAUCCGCUGACUUUGUGAAGGAGACUGCACCCUAACUUUCUCUAUAUAUCUCUCUAACAAUCCACUCUCUCACCUCUCUUUUCCCUUUUUUCUCUAUUUUUAAAUUCUCUCUCCAAAAGAAAUGCCUAAAGUCAGGCAAAGUUAGAGAAGAGAAAGUUAGAGAAUCUUAAUCCCAUGUAAGGGAGAGGAUCCACUGACUUUGUGAAGGAGACUGCACCCUAGCUUUCUCUAUAUAUCUCUCUAACAAUCCACUCUCUCACCUCUCUUUUCCCUUUUUUCUCUGUUUUUCAAUUCUCUCUCCACAAGAAAUGCCUAAAGUCAUACAAAGUUAGAGAAGAGAAAGUUAGAGAAUCUCAAUCCCAUGUAGGGGAGAGGAUCCACUGACUUUGUGGAGGGGAUUGCACCCUAACUUGCUCUCUAUAUCUCUCUAACAAUCCACUUUCUCGCCUCUUUGUUCCCUUUUUCUCUGUUUUUCAAUUGUCUCUCCACAAGAAAUGCCUAAAAUCAGGCAAAGUUAAACAAUCUCAAUCCCAUGUAGGGGAGAGGAUCCACUGACUUUGUGGAGGGGAGUGCAUCCUAACUUUCUCUUUAUAUCUCUCUAACAAUCCACUCGCUCACCUCUCUUUUCCCUUUUUUCUCUGUUUUUCGAUUCUCUCUCUACAAGAAAUGUCUAAAGUCAGGCAAAGUUAGAGAAGAGAAAGUUAGAGAAUCUCAAUCCCAUGUAGGGGAGAGGAUCCACUGACUUUGUGAAGGGGACUACACCCUAACAUUCUCUCUAUAUCUCUCUAACAAUCCAUUCUCUCACCUCUCUUUUCCCUCCUUUUUUUCUCUGUUUUUCAAUUCUCUCUCCAUAAGAAAUGCCUGUUAUUACCUGAAGCAAACCAUAUGAGACUUAAACACAAUAUUUUGAGAUUACAUGUAUGUUUGAAUGAGCGGUGAGAUUGAAAAAACACAGUGCCACCGUAAUUGUGAAAGCGAAAGUAUUGAUCUAAAUUAACAAAGUAGAGACAAAUCAAACACAGAAAAAUGUGAUAGCACCUUUUCCACUAUAAUUCGGUACAAAUAUAUUGACAAUAUUUGUUUCCACCUUUAUAGGUUCUUCCAAAUCCUUGGCUAAAAAUCAAAAAUACAUUCUAUUUUUGGAGAUGCAUUUCCAAAGACACUCAUUUUUUACAAAAUUGAAUGCCAACGAGUAAGACAUCCCAAUUAUACCUAAUUUUUGUUCGGAGAUGCAUCACCAAAUAUUUUUUUGAUAUAUUUCGAAGAUGCAUAUUCAAAAGUAGCUCAGAUACUUCAAACCAGAAACAAUGACAAUAUGAGAAAGAUUUAGAAACAAAAUCAACUUGACAAAAAAUUGAAACACUCAACAUUACAUAGAUAGUAUAGUUGUUAACGUAAAUUUAACAUUAGAGAUAGUUACAAACAAGUAGUUCAGGAUGUUGCAACAUAUUGAUAAUAUCAUCGGAGAAUCUUUCAAUCUUUGCAUCCACUUCAAUCGAAGCAUUUGAUGCGUAACGGUAAAAUGUACUCCAAAUGACCUGUAAAUCUUCAUUCGUCUUUAGUUCAAAGUUGGUGAACUGUAUCUUCCCUUCGCUGUCAAUCGAUGAUGAACGAUACUCAAGCUUGAUAACUCUUUGAUUUUCUGGAUAUCGCAGGAGAGUAUUCAGUUUAGUUUUCAGAUCGACGAGAAGUAUGUCGUCGCAGAAUCGAAAUUGAAGUGAGAGUUUUACACAAUUGAAAUACACAAAUGCUUUUAAGAAUAAUAAGUCAAGUGUGAGUUGGAGUUCCGCAUUAGUUAUAAAUGUGGAAAUUUGAUCAUUUAUAAGUGGGAGAAUCCACACACAUAUCACCUUAAGGUUUUUGGUGAAUAUGUGGUGUCUCUCUCACUUGUGUUUUGCUCUUAGUCCAAUGUUGAUGCUCCUUCUCAUGACCCAACAAAUGGUAUUAGAGUCUAUGGGGAUAUGCAUUCAUUAUCUUGUUGUAAAAAAAACAUGGGUUGAGAGACACCCUAUUUAUACAAGUACUGAGUCACUUUGGACCUCAAAAACCUUAUCAUGACAUCAGGUCACUUUUCAGAUCUCUGAUUAAACCCUGAUUUUUUACGAAAAAAUGGUGUUAACGGAUAUGCAUAUCCGAAAAAUUCUUGGAUCAUUUUUUUCAAUAUGUAUGAGGUUUAUUCGGAUAUACAUAUCCGAAAUUUACCCUGAAGCAGAAUCAAACUAGAACUUGUGUCUGCAAAAACAAAAAAUGCAAACCAUAAAAUUUGUAAAAUGAAAAAGUCGACAUUAACAUCGUCAUUGUUGAAUAAAUAUUACUAAAUUGUUAAUUGAUAAACCAUCCUAAUGAAAGCGCUAUUUAAAUGACUUCAAAAAACUUUUCAGAGAUGUAUCUGCAAAUUCACCCCAGAAAUCUUUCUUCGCAUAUGUAUCUCUGAACUAAAUUUUAACAAAAACUUGAAUUUGAUAAGUUCGAAUAUGCAUCUUCGAAAAAGUAUAGAGUCAUUUUUGAAUUUUCAAAGGUGCGGCCCACACUUCAUAAAAGUGAAAAAAGAAAUUGCGAAAUAUAUUUUGUUUACAUCAAAGGUAGAGAAAGUUAAUUCCAAGUUUGUUUAACUAUUUAUCCUCCAAAAGAAAUGGCCCAGUUGACAUAACUAUUCUAAAAGGGAUUUACGGAAAUUGGGUUUUCUUGAAAUUCAGUGGUUUUAAGUUAAGUGGUUUUUAAAACAAGUGAAUUUGCAAUGGUAUCAAUCAUCCAUAUCAGUAUUAGCACCGUGAAACAUGUUAACUCAUAAUGCUGCUUAUUCUCAUGAGAUUAAAUCCAUAUCUGUACUAGUACUUUGUUAUGCAUCCAUACAUGUUUUGUUUAUGAUGGCAUGGAAAUAGUCACUUCUUCCAAAACAAAUCAUAUGGUACAAUAACAUAAAUUUUGGACACUACAUUUCAUAUAAAACAAUGAAUUGCAACCGUCUGUAUUUACUAGUACUAGUUUCAUGAUUCCAACUACAAGUUUUCACCAUCAUCACUACUGUCAACUGAAGAUAAACUACAAAAUUUUGAGUGGGUAAGCAACAUGCCAAAUCUUCGCCACCUAGACUGGACAACUAAAGAAGUUUCAGUCCACCUGUUACCUCGUCUACCACUUCAACAGGUCCUGCACAUGAAUAUCAUGUUAAAAUCGAACUAUCUUGAGCUAUAUAAAAAGAAAAGGAAAAGCUAAACUGGCAUCGGAAAAAAAUGGUCAUUGUAUUAGAGAAGAGUAUUACCGAGAAUCGCCAUCACCGUUCUGGAAUCUAGAAGGAAAAAAAAACUAUCAUAAGCAUUAAAUAUAAACUAACAUUAUACCGGACAAAAAUAGAAUAUGUAACAAAAGAAGGUUAUUCAUUCUGAGUACUUUUUAAAAUGUAAAUCCACCUAUAUUAUUUCAGACACAGUUAUAAAGUCCAAAGGAACCAACUGCACAUCUCUUUUCUUCAGAAUACAAGGAUGAACCAGCAUUUUCAAGCAUGGAUUUCAUUAUUAGGGGAUUGCUUGAAAACUAUCUCUAGUUUCAGUUCUAGUUGUACUGGCUUCUACAGACACAGUUUAAUUGAUAUAUCCAGACAAUUAUAGUACUUGAAUAUUUACAUCAACUAUCAAGUGUUAGACGUUAAUAAUUUUUUCAUAUUUCCGUUAGGAAGAUAAAGAACACAAACACAGGUAAAAGUUCCAAUUAUAUGGCAAAACACUACACAUCAGUCAGAUAACAAUGGAAUAAGAGUAGUUUGAAAUACUUACUCGGUGCAAUCUGUGUUCGCCCCGCAUCAAUUGUGAUAUGAGUAGGUAACUUCAGAGAUUUAGCCCUUUCCUAACACAUCAAAUGACAAUUUCACUAAAUCAAAAUCUAUCUUAUAGAUAGGAGAGUCAUACAUAAUGCAUUUGACUUAAAAUUUAAGAUAGUUCGGAAGAUAAACAUGUAAGAACCUGAUUUGGAGAAAUUGAUGCGGAUGGAAUGAGAAGACAUUUAUUUGUAGACAAAGAUGAUACCAAUCAUAAAUCAAAUAUAGUUUAUAUAUUAUCUGCUAUUUGAGAUUUUGAUGAUAUGCUGAAUGCAUUAUAAAACUUGUUUCUGCUAUUCUUUUUGUUAAAAUAAAAGACCUGGUGAUUUACACCCUCAUAGAUUACUACAAUUUCUAACUAGGCUUAUUAAACCUUUCAUAGGAGUUACUUUAAUAAUAAUAAAUGACAUAUCUAACUUACAAGUUUAACAAACCGGAUGCAAUCCAAGUAUUAUUAGAAUAACAUAUAAGAAAUAUAAAAUGCUCAUUUACUUUGAGUUCAAUGUUGUAACACAAGCUAUGAACACUUCAGCUUUUAGGGUGGCCAAUUUUUUUAUGCUAUCGAUACCUCUCUCCCAGACCAUUCAUUGUUUAUAACAUGAUUUACAAACUCUUAUCCAAAGCUUUCAUAUCUGUAACUUCUUUUGUACUUUUCCAUACAAUUUAGUACAAACUAAAGAUAAUUCAAUUAAUCUUUUCAGCCUAACAAAUUAAAAGGAUAUUUUUCUUUAAAAUUGGGCAUUUUUUUAAAUCAAAAUUUUUCCGUUGAAUACUUUUCACCACUUCCUCUCCCUUCCCAAUCAUCAUAUACAGCCCGAAUUAUAAACUGUUACUAUAGAGACCUUUCACUUCAUUUAUGUUAACUAGCAAUCCCAGACACCAAACUUUGCUUUUUAAUAUAUAUAAGCCACAGUAUUCUUUUGGACAGCUUUAAAACCUAUAUGAUUGCAAUUGUCGGUAAGCAUAUAGGUGCAUUUUCUAAGUUUGAAGUUUGCAGAUAAGGUUUUCACAGUUAAGCCCAAGUUUCAUGCCUCGCACCUCAACGAAAGCAUCCCUUUCCUAGUCCUCCUUUUCAUUUGUUGUCAUAAUCACAAUCAAUAACUGACCAAAGUAUAGUGAGCAGGUAUCCAGUAAAAACGUAGAAAAAUUCAAAGAGAACUUAGCUAAUGUAGCACAAGAUUUCCCUAAGAAUCAAACAAUACAUACUUGCAAAGCCAGCAUAUCUUCUUCACUUUCAAUUUUGACAACAACCUUGGGCUGCGCAGACAUCUCCCACCUGCACAUUCGCAUUGAAAACUGAGAAUGAAGUUACACAAUUCAAGAUGACCAAAAGCUCAACCAGUGACAGUACCUAUUUAAAGCCUUUGGAGCUCGAUAAAGAACCUUUUUGUAGAGACCCAACGUUGCAUGACUACAAAAAGAAAAAGAGACAGAAAACUGAGCUAGAACCAUUAAACGUGUUUUUUGCAAUAUAAAAAAUAAAUAAGCAACGAAAAAACAAAAAUAGGAGCAAUAAAUAUGUCCACCCUUCACAUGGAUGAGGGAUCUCUAUGCCAGGAUGCUUCUGCAACAAACUAGAGAAAUAGAGAGUUUUAUUACCCUAAUGUUCACACUCUAAGCAAUAGUAAUCUAUUUGGAAGGUACUCACAGUUUCAAACAAACAGCCGCUGAUUGGAUUGGCUUAUUCAAACUUAAUUACAGCAAUAACUACCUAUGAUGCUAGUUGAGAGAGCAUAUAGAAACAACUUAGGAUUAUUUUCACAAGUUAUCCCGGAUAGCUUAUACAAACAGCUUAUAAGUAAGUUAUAGCUUAUAUAAAAACAUUUAGGCUUUAUUCUAUAUUUCAUCAUAAAAAACUUAUACAUAAGCACUUAUAUGAUAAACACUUAGCUAAGUUGUUUAACCAAACAAAACCAAAGUAACAUUAGCAAAGAUUACAUACCUGCAUUGAGCUGCAAUUUUUCCUUUACCCAUUUUAAGAUCAUUUCGAACAACGAGUAUCUACAAAAAAAUAAUAAUAAUAAUAAUUUUUAGACAACCCAUCAAAAUAAAAUUAGUAGGUUAGAAAAAAAAUAAUUUUUUUUUGUGAUUUACCAUCUUAAAAUCCUCGAGAAUUUCCGCGAGCUGUUCAACCUCAAGUGAGUCUUUGAUUUUGGACUUACUAUUCUUCUUCUGCUUACUGUUAUUGUUGUGAUUGAGAAGUGAAUCAUCUUUCUCUUUAAGGGAUGAAAAUCUAUUCGAGAAAAAGAAACGAUGGGGAUAGUGAGAACCAAUGAAGUAGCCGAAAGCGAGAUAACCGGCGCCGACCAAAAUUGCACUCAACCAUGAUACUUCCAUUUCAAUCACUUGAGAAGAUGAAGAUCACGGUUGGGAUUUUAGGGUUCUGAAAAGGGGAUUUUAGUAAUUAAUAAAAUAAAGUAAAAACACACUUUACUUUCGGCAACAACAACAACAACAACACCGAAUGAAUUAACUCUUUGAAAACUUCUACUUACACCCUUAUAAACCUAAUUACUAGCUAUUUAAUUAAUAGAAUGCCAAAAGGACUCCUAGGAUGUCACAAACUAAAAAACAAAACAAUAAUUUUAAAUUUGCAAGAUGUUUUUACGGGAUAAAAAAACUAAAUUCUUAAAAAUAAAUAAAUUGUGGCUAAGGAUGUAACUCAAUUUUAGAAAAGAGGGAAAGUGGAUUAAGAUAUCAACUUUAAAAGAUAUCUUGAAUUUAGUUAUGAGAUCAAUAUUUUGAUUGUCUUUGUAGAGGUAGGGAUAACUCUAUACAUGUUGUUUUCGGUUUAAGAUAUCUUAAAUAUUCGAGAUCAAUAUUGCAUGUUUAGGAUAUUUAUUCAAGGGAUUCUUGAUGAGCUUGAUUCGAAAGAAGAGUCUAUGUAGUAUGAUGAGUUAAUAACUUUCAUAUCUUUGACUAAUGAGAGUCUUUCGUGAAUGAUCCAAAGUUCUACUUAGAGGAUAUUUGUAUGGAUUGGUAUGAAACGAGAGAACUUGCAUUGUCAGGUCCCAUAAUAGUUGCAAAAGAUAUCACUUAAGUCAAUACGGUUUGGUGUGUCAUUUUAACUUCCAUCAACAUUAAUAAUAGUGCAUGAGAAGUUGUGGAAAUUGCACAUUUUGCUUCGUUAAAGUUUUACUAAACCAAGUAUGAAAGGAGUGAAGGAGAAUAGCGAUCCAAAAUGCAACGGAAAUUAAAAAAUUCUCCUUCAGUGAUCCUUACGAAUGGGCAUGAUCAGUGAUAGAAUCGUUACCUCUUGUGGCGAUUGAAACCCUUGAUGCAGAUCGAAUGAGUGAUCAUGAACGUUGAAUGGUGACAACGCCUCUACUCAGUCCACACGAACGAAUUCCUUCAGUCUCAGUGUUAGCUGCUACGAAUGAAGGCUUUGAGUGAAAGAAAGAGAGAAACAAAAUUUUCAUCUGAUUCAAUGUUUCUGCACAAGGGUUCUAUUUAUAGAACCACUUAUGUGGGUUGUAAGCUAAAAUGUCAACUUAAAUGUAUGUGGCUCAUAUCUUAUGAUAUACCAAAAUCACUUAAGCGCGUGGUACCUUACCAUAUUUCGUAUUCUACUUAAGUGCAUUGUACCUUACGAUGUUCUACAAUUCACUUAAGUGCAUCGUACCUUACGGUGUUCCUUAUUUACUCUAUCUCUCAUCAAUCUGUCCUUUUGUGUGUGACCCUAUAGGUUUUCGCGGCAUUGGCGAUUAUAUUAAAUCACGCAUUUAACAUAAUAAAUAGUGAGCAGUAUUUAGCAACACAUCACUGCUACCCAAGACACGAAAAUGUCAUGUGAUCUGACAAAUCUUUUUGUGAUAAUAGUUAUGUGUGUAAUUACCCUUUUGCACUUAUGUCUAUAUUGAACACAAGGCAUAGACCGUGUCAUCCUUGUCCAGUUCAAUAUUGGGCCCUUAGACAUUCAUCCUGUUAUGCAGGAUGGGCAAAUUCCAUCUAGGUCACUCAUGUCCUUCAACAUGCUUCAUUGAGUACCCAUCAACUGUCUUUAUGUUCAUCCAAUUACGAACAAUGUUUGAUCAGCAAUAAAGCACUCGACUCUACAUCUAGGGUCCAUAGUGGUUUCAGGUCGAAGGGUGGUAUACACCACUAUCACCAUGAGAAUAACUUAUGACACUUUGCAUAACAUUCUAUUAGUAUUUCAUAGCGGGACAAUCUAGUAUAAUAUUACUCAUAAUAUUCAUACUAUGUUUAGACUUGAUAACUCCUAUCCAUGAUCCAUAAGAUGUGAUCAUCAGUUCUAUUAUAACAUAAUAAUCUUUAAUGCUUUAAUAUUAUCCACUUUCACAAUAAAACUCAACUACGGAUACUUUAAGAAUAGUUGUUCUUAUGUUUAUGGGAAUUUCAUUGAUUAAGUCAACUUGAUACAUUAAAACAGGACUAGUGAUAUCUUAGGACGUUUAUUAAACAACUAUUAAAGAAAAGCUUUUUAUAUUAAUAAAUAAUUCGAUACAAGUACCAAAAAGUAUUGGGCCUCUAGGUGCAUUACACCAACAAUAUCCACGUAGCACUAGAGUCAUCAGGCAUACCUAAUGCCCAUAGGAUCUUAGUAUGCCCAUCAUGGCUUCUGUGCGCCAAAGGGCUUUGUCAGUGGGGUCAGCAAUAUUGUUCAAGUGUAGUUACUCUGCAUAUUUUCCAUUCACCUCUAUCUUUUAUCUCUCGAUGGAGGUUGAUAACUCCUAAGUAUGUUGUUUGGAUCGUUGGUUGAGAUUUUAGUGGCUCCUAGCUGUGCGAUAGGCACCAUUGUUAUCACAAUAGAGACCAAGUCCAUAAUGCUAGGACUAUGACAAGUUCACUAAUGAACUUUUGAUUCAAACAACGUUUCUUUGCUGCAUUGAGGCAAGUUAAUAUACUCGGCCCGUUGUAAAAUUAGCAACUGUAUGUUGCUUUAACGUUUUUCCAGCUCACAGCGCCACCGUUUUAAGCAAAACACAUAACCAGAUUGCAAUCUAAAGUCAUCCUUAUCUGUCUGGAAGUAGUCGGCCUGUAUCCAAUUACAGUCAGCUCUUCUUGACCUUCCAUUAUAUCAAGAAUGAGUUCCUUAGUCCUUCUAAUAUUAAGGAUAUUCUUGAAGCUACCGUAAGCAUCCCGGGAUCAGAUUGGUUACUACUCGUUGCACUAAAGCAUACGAGACAUCUGAUCGAGUACAUAAUAUGGCAUACAUUGAUAGAUUCUAUUGCAGAUACAUAUGGAAUCUUAUUCAUGUAUCCCUUUCUUCUAGUGAAGGUAUUUGUUUUUGAUAGACACGGGCCAUGUUGCAUAGGUAUUGAAUCCUUUUCGUUGGGUCAUGCAUAUUAAGCAUUCAGCACUUUGUUAUGUAUGUACUAUGACUUAGGCCAAAAUUUUGUGAUCUAUCUCUAUAGAUUUUGAUUCCUAAUAUUAGGCUGCUUCCCAGGUCCUUCAGUAGAAAAGGCAUUUUCCCCAACCAAGACUUUACUUGUUGCAGGGUAGGGACUCAUUUCCCAAUGAGUAAUAUGUCAUCGUACAUAUAAUACCAGGAAGACGAUCAUGCUCCCACUAACCUUCUUUAGCACCAAAGGCUCAUCUUCAUCGUGAUGAAUCCAUAUCGUUUUAUAUUCAUCAAAACGAAGAUUCCAGCUUCUGGAAAGCUUGCGUUCAAUCCAUAGAUUGAUCUUUGUACUUAGUAUUAUCUGAGGUCUGGUUGUCAAAUCGUUCAGGUUUAUGUGCAGUACACACUCCUUCAAACAAGUUCCCUAGGGAAAGCAGUUUGACAUCCACUACCAUAUUUCAUAAUCAUAUAUGCAGCGAUAGCAAGUAAAAUCCGAAUAGAUUUUAAAGCAUGCAACUGGUGAAAGGUUGUCAUCAUAUUCAAACCCAUGAAGUUUGUUUAUAUCCUUGCAACCAGUCUUGCUUAUAGGUAUGUGACUUACCUGUCUAUGUUGUCUUUCUUUUUGAAGACCCACUGUGCAUCCGUUAGGGUUAACUCCUCAUGGAGGAUCUACCAAGUGUCCAAACCUUGGUUUGUGUACAUGGAAUCCAUUCAAAUUUCAGUUGGUUCUAGCCACCUCUCGGACUCGGGACCAAUUAUAGGCCUCUUGGUUAGUGUUGUCCCCUAAAUUUCCCCUCCUAUUUCUCACCGUAUUGUAAUCUAAUCACUUGAGUCAAGAGUGACUUGCAUACAUCCAUAACUCAUCCACAUGCAUCAUUCCUUAUGAUUUCAAAAGAAAGUGGCCCAUAUAGCUACGGGCUCACACAGGUAUCAAAGUCCAAAGGCAUGGGUUGAUCACAUCAUCGAGCAUAAGGAAUGUGAAACCCUAAUGAGGGUAGUGAAAAGACUUGAUUCAACAAAGGUGGAACCAAUCCUUCUGGGGUCCUUUAAAGCUCUAAUUCUCAAGAACAUGAUCUCAUGAAGCUUCCCUAACCCUUGUCGUGGGGUCUUCAAAACCCUGAUGUAAGGAUUUGAUGAUUGAAACACUUAUGUUCGGAUAAUAGCAAGGGACUUGCUUUAGGGGGUAAAGGNNNNNNNNNNNNNNNNNNNNNNNNNNNNNNNNNNNNNNNNNNNNNNNNNNNNNNNNNNNNNNNNNNNNNNNNNNNNNNNNNNNNNNNNNNNNNNNNNNNNGGGGGGGUGAAUUAGGUGGUUAAAAAUUCUUCGAUCUUGUUUCCGGUUUUUGGUUAUUUUUCGUUUAAGUGCGGAAAAAUAAAUUGCGGAAAGUAAAAAGACACCGGAAUUUAUAGUGGUUCCCUUCACAAUCCGAAGGUACAUCCACUCCCCUUUCGACUCGAAAGAGAUUUCACUAUAGUUAGAAUUAUUGUACAGCCUACUCACACCAAUGGUGAUGCUUACUAUCUAACCUAUAGAUAAUCAAGUGUGCAAGAACAAUCCUCUUGCAACACCAACCCUUGUGUCCAACAAUCCUGGAUCACAAGUCAAACAGAAAUAAAUCUUUUUGAUGAUUUGAAUAAAGUGUAGCACUAUCAAUCUUCUCUUGAUUGAUCUUCUCCUUAGAUAAAUAAUUCACUCAAUGAAUAAUAUAUAAGUGUUCAACAAUAAAUGGAAUGAGAUGAAACAAGAAUGUUCAAAAGUUUCUUCUCAAAAUUUUGGUUAUGAACACUUUUAUGAAAUAUUGAAAAUAUGAAAGAGUGAUUAUCUUAAGUUUUUAUGAAAGUUCUUGGAGGUGAAUUUUCAUUUAAAAAUUCAAGAAUUUAUAUUGACAAAACACCUUUUCAAAGAGGUAUAAUUUUCUUUAUAAAAAAAAUGAAAAGGUAUAAGUUUUUGAAAAACAUUUUUCACUGAAACGAACAGUGUUAACCGGUUAACGCGUAUAACGUUAACUAACGAAGUUCAAAAACAGGGCUGUUAACCGGUUAACCCAUAUGGUUAACCGGUUAACACUGUUGAAAUGCAGAAAAAAACUUUAAGAAAAUGUGUCUUUCAUUUCAACAUGUUAACAAAUGGUUCGAUUUAAAAAUGGAAAUGCAAAAUAUGAUUGUUGAACACUUGUAUACUAAUCUAAGAGUGAAUUAGAUAUACCUUAGAAGUGAAUCAACAAACUUGCACAAGUGUUGGCUUGAAAAAAGAAGCUUGAUCAAAAUGUUGCUUAUGCAUAUGUGGCUUGAUCAAUUUGAUGCUUGAAUUCUCUUGAAGCUCUUCUCUUUUUGCAUUGAUACAUGUUGUCUUCAUCAAAGUUCUUUUGGAUUGAAGCAUGCUUCUACAAGAUUCACAUUUAGACUCGAAGAAUACCGUUCAAUAUACAUAAAUGCUAAAAUGUCAUAGUUUUGACAUCAUACAAAACAUUUAUAAUAUGAAGGUGCACUCACAUACUCCCCUUUUUUGAUGAUGGCAAAACUUACGACAAUGCAUUUGAUGUCUUCAUAAAGGCUCCCCCUGAAUGUGUGUAUCAUAGCUUGCAUCUGUUUUUCCCCUUUGAAAUAACUGAUAUUGAUGUCAAAACUUCUCCACAUAUCUUGAUUUGAUUCACCAGUUUGGUAACCCUAGUGAAAAAAUCAGUUAUGCUUUCAUUGCCUUCCGUCCGAAGCAAUUCAUAUGUUCUUUUGUGAGUUUGUAACUUCACUUAUUUCACAUUUUCUGCGUCUUCAAACGAUUUUUCAAUAAUUUUCCAUGUUUUUUUCGAUGGUUCAACAUCACUAACCUUUUCGACACUGUCUGCAUCUACGCAUUGAUGGAUCAUAACGAGAGCUUUAUAACUUUUUUCUUCAAUUCUCUGUGUCCAACAUUUUCUUCAUCUGUCGCGUUUGCUGCAAACUGCGCCAAACCCUCCUUCACAAGAUCCCAAAGAUCUCUAUAGCAAAAAAUAACAUUUACCUGCAUGCACCAAUUCUCAUAAUUUUGAUUCUUCAGAAUUGGGAGACUCGCCGGAAAAUGUGCAUUCAGAUGAUUCAUCACCAUCGUGUUUUGCUUCCCACGAAUCGCUCAAUCAGUGCUCUAGACACCAGAUGUUGGAAAUUCACCAAUUCCCCUUCAAGAAAUUCACCAAAAACUAUGGAGAAUUUCGAACUAAAUCUUGUUGAACAAGAAUCAAUCUUUUUGAUUGAUUACUCAUUUUAUUCUUCACUUUUUACUCGAGUGAAUCAACCACACUAGGUUGCGAGAUUUCGUUGCAUAAUGGUAAUGAAAAGAAGAAAAAUUGAAUUGGAGAAGAAAGAGAGAUUAUGGUUUUCGAAUAAGGAAGAAGAAGAAAUUUCUGCAAAAUAACUCUCUGCUCUCAAACUGAGAUUUUAUUUCUUUGCAACUGCAAAUAUGUGCUCAAUUACAAUCAAUAAGAGUUACUACUUAUUUAUAGAUUUUGGGCUUGCUUGCUUCUAAAGCAAAACCCAAAUACCUACUAAUGUUGCUAAUAUUGCAAAGUUAGACAUACAUAAAAAUCCAUGCUGAAGCUAACUCCUCAACACUUCAACACAUAAGUGUUUUGAUAGCAACAAACUUCGACAUCAUAAAUUACAUUCUCAAUAUUUUUUAUCAAUUGAACUAGAAUUUACUGAAACAUAGCUAUGUUUUAUUUAAGGAGAAAUGCAUCUACAUAUAUUUAAGAAAUCAAUUUAUUUUAAAGUAAAAAUAAAUAUCAAAUCUUAGUUUUCACAACACAAGUAUACACCUAUCAUAUAAAGAAAUGGAUUAUGCAUUUUAAUUUUCAAAACAUAUUUCUUUAUUAAAAAGCUAGCACAAGUAAUAAUGGAGAUAGGGGGUGUACUUUUGAAAGAAAAAAGAAGGAAGAUGUAUUAGUAAAAGCAAAUCCUAUGUUUUGGUGUACUAGAAAAAAUGGUUCAGCCCAAACGUAUGUUUUUGUCCGAAAAACAACAACAUCGAGAUUUGCCGUCAAGGGUGGCGAUGACGGCGAUGAUUCCUUAAGCUCUUGGCUUUCAAAGGUUCCAUCUUUUACUCUUUUUCAUAUCUGAAUCGUUAAUACAAACCCUAGGUACAACGGUUAUGUGUUUUGAAAAGUGAAAAUGUUUUUUUUACUAAUUGAGGUUUCAAAGCGAUAAUACUUACUGAUAUUCUUUCAAUGGAAUCACAUUAUGUUCAUUUUGCUAAAGUUUUAGGGUUUUUUAUUGUGUGAAUUCUAACUCACCUAGAAGCCACUUCAUAACUGAUUUUGAUUUUUGAGCCUCUUUUUUAUCUGGCAGAACAUUUCCAGCAUCUAAAGUUAUUGUGCUGAAAUCAUGUGUGAUUGUCAAUAAGGAUUUCCUAUUCCUCAAAUCAGAUGGCUUUUUUGUUUCAGAAAUUUCAAGAGGUAUCUUCUUAUCUUAUGCUUUACUUCAAAAGUAGUUACUUAUUUGCAGUGAUUAUAGCAAGACAUGUUUAAGUUAUCAAUAUUCAUAUGUUUAAAAUUGAAAAGACUUAGAAACGACAACAGUUUUAUAAGUAGAAUCGUUGUAAUAGAAGAAAAUAAUGUUUUACUUUUACCGAUUGUCCGUGGUUUUAGGCUAAUUUAAAGUUCAGUUUUUAUCUGUUGUGCAUCCUGUGAAGUUUAUUACAAAAGUCUUGAUUUUGAUUUGUUUUCAGGCUGUGAAAACCCUUGCCAAAAGUCCCACUUUUGCUUUUGCUAGGGAUCCAAGACGACUACAGUUUGAAGUCGAUCUUAAUCGUUUGUUCCUCUAUACAAGGUAAGUGUUUUUUUUGUCGUCUGCAUUUAAAAUUCAAGGGUGCAUUAAACUAGUUAUACAUUGCUAAUUAUUACUCCCUCUGUGCCAAAACUCUAGUUGUUUAAGCAUUUUAGUUUUAUUUCAAAACUUUGUGUGUUUUAGAAACCCCAAGAUAUAUUUGACAUUUUUCUUCCAAAUAUACUCCUAAAUGUUGUUUACAAUAUUAUUUAUAAAUUUAUAAUGAGAUAUUUAUAGGUAUUUGUGAAGCAUUUAACUAGUACGAUAUUGACAUUUUGAUACUUAUAUACACACAUCAAUUAUAUGAUUCCUUAAGCUAUAAGCAAAUACCUUAAACAACUCAAGUUUUGGAAUGGAGGGAGUACCGACAAUGGUUGCAUACAAAAUGCCUGUUUUACACCCUCUACUUCUUGUGACCUAUUGUUAAUGUAUAGAAAUAGACUUGUCCUAGAUAGUGACCCUUCUAAGGAUACUACUAGUGAGAAAAUACUUGUUUCCUUCUGUUUAUUUAAUACAGCUUUUCUAAAGACUGUUAAUAAUAUUGGAAAGAGAUCCUGAAUGAUAGGAUUAUGCUGAUUAUGAUGUAAUCAGUAAAGUAAACAAAAUAUAAUAAAACAAUUAAGAAACAAAAUAAAAUCUGAUUAGGCUGCCGCUUUCUUUCUCUAUUAUUGCCACCUACAAAAGCAUCCACAUCAUCACUAUCUUAUCGGCUUUGAGCUUGUCCUCAAACCCUGGAUAAGCUUGUUGGAAGUGGUAUACCGGUUUCCAAAUGGCAUUUUCUUGAGGAUAUCCAGCUCAAUGCUCUUACAGCUCCUGUUUCCUGCUAUUGGUCCUACUGCAAAGAAUAGCAUGAGGAGUGGGUAAGGCUUUGCCGUUGUCAUGUAUGUGUGAUAAAUUUGGUAAUUCUCCUACAGCAGCUGGUUGGGAUCCUUCAUGCUCUUUAAGGAGAGGUGCAUCAAACACAUUCUGUUUUCUAUUGUCUGCAAGUAGCUAAAGCUUGUACACAAUAGAUCGUACGUUGGCUUGACACUUGACACUGAAAGGAAUAAAAUACUUUUGGAAGAAGUUUGAUGUUUUUGUUUAGCCAUUGUCGACUGGCAAUAUGAUUGAAAUUGUAGCUAUACCGAACCCCUAUCCGGUAAACUCAAUAUUGAAAAUAAUAAGUAGAAGUUGUUCUAUUUUAUUCCUCAGCCAAAAGCUGGCUUAUAUAGUGAGAAUAUAAUUAAUACAAUUAAUUCUCUCCUUAACGGAGAAUAAAGGUAAAUGAAUGACAAUAAACGGAAACAAUAAAAACGGAGAAACAAAAUAUUUUCCAACACCCCUCUUCAAGUUGGUGCAUAUAUAUCUAUCACGCCCAAUUUGUUUAUCAAAUGUUCGAAGGUAGGUCUUGUCAAACUUUUGGUCAGGAUAUCCGCAGUUUGCUGAUUUGAAGUAACGAAAGGUAGACAUAUGAUUCCAACAUCUAACUUCUUUAUGAAGUGUCGAUCAUUCUCAAUAUGCUUGGUUCUGUCAUGUUGAACUGGGUUAUGAGCUAUGCUAAUAGCAACUUUACUGUCAGAGUAUAAUUUCAAUGGAAGCUCAAUUUUCAUCUUAAGUCCUUUUAAGACUCUAAGGAUCCAUAAUCCUUCACAAAUACCUUGAGACAUAGCUCUAAACUCGACUUCUACAUUACUUCCUUGCUACAACUCCUUGUUUCUUGCUCCUCCAUGUGACAAGAUUACCCCAAACAUAGGUACAAUAUCCAGAAGUUGAUAUUCUAUCUGUGACUGAACCUGCGCAAUCAAUAUCGGUGAAGGUAGACACAUUUUUUUCACUAGUCUUCUUAAAAAAUAAGUCUUUUCCAAGAUUUCCCUUCAAGAUGUUCCUCUAAAGGAGAAUGUAUAAACUGACUUUCUACACUCACCGAGAAAGCAAUAUCAGGACGAGUGUGUGACAAAUAAAUCAGUUUAUCAAUCUUUGAUAUCUUUCAGUAUCAACAAGAACAUUACCUUCUCCCUAAAGUUUAACAUUAGGAUCCAUAAGGGUAUCUGCAGGACGACAUCCACUCAUUCCUGUUUCUUUCAAUAAGUCUAGAAUGUAUUUUUGUUAUGAAACCACAAUACCAUUCUUUGACCGAACAACCUUGAUACCUAGAAAAUAUCUCAUGAAUCCCAAGUCCUUGAUUUCAAAGUCUACUGCCAAUUUCUCUUUUACUCUUGCCAUUUCUGCUGUAUCGUCUUCAGUAAGGACAAUAUCAUCAACAUAAACAAUCAGGGCAACAUUUUUCCCAUCGCGGGAGAACUUUGUGAACAGGGCGUGGUCAACCUGUCCUUGGAUGUACCCUUGUUUCUUCAUGGAUUGAGUGAGUUUUUCAAACCAGGCUCUAGGAGACUGUUGUAAUCCAUACAAAGACUUAUUUAAUUUGUAUACAUUUGAUCCAACUUUGAUUUCAAAGUCAGGAGGAAUGUUCAUAUAUACUUCUUCUAGAUCGCCAUUAAGAAAGAUAUUCUUAACAUCUAAAUGAUGUAGAGGGACAAAUUCAGGUUAACAGCAAGAGAUAAAAGAAUUCUGACAGUGUUCAAUUUUGCAACAUGUGCAAAUGUGUUUUAGUAGUCUAUACCAUAGGUCUGAGUAAAGUCUUUAGCCACCAAGCGAGCCUUAUAUCUUUCAAUUGACUCAUCUGAAAUAUACUUCACAGUAAACACCCAUUUGCAUCCAACUGUCUUCUUGUCAUGUCUUCUUGCUAUCUGGUAGCGUCGUAAGACUCAAAGUUUUGUUCUUUUCAAGAGCUUUCAUCUCCUCAAGUACAAUUUCCCUCUACUUUGAAAUUUCUAGAGCAACCUGUACAUAUUUUGGAAUUUCUACACUAGACAAUUUUGAGGUUAAGGUAGACAUAUAUGAAGACAAAUUUAAAUAUGAUAUAAAAUUGGACAUAGGGUGUUUAGUGCAAGAUCUAACAGAUUUUCUAAUGGCAACAUGAUCAUCUAUAUCAGGAUACAAAAUAUGACUCUCAGAAACAGAGAUAGACUUAACUUUCCUUUUCUUAGGAGGUUGAUCAUUCUCCGAUUCAGAUUCCUGGCAGUUUUAAGAUGUGGACUCGUCCCUUCCUUUGUGGUAUUUUUUCACAAAAGCCUUCCAUUUCCAAGUCAUGUUACCUAAUUCAAAUCUGUUUUCUUGAAGUGACUCAUUAUUUUGUGGCAUUUCAAUUAGAUCAUCAUUAUCAUCGUUUUUAGGAUUCUCAUUGUUUUCUACAAGAGAAAAUAUAGGCUCACAUUCACAAAAUUCCUUACUCAUAACAGAAGUAGGAUCAGAUAAAGAAUUAUGACAAUUUUUUGUUGGUGCAGAUGUAAAAGUCUCAGAAUUUUGUGGUAUAGGCAAAGAUAAAUUAUUUAAAAAAUGCAUGUCCUCGAUUUGAAAUUAGUCUUCAUUUAUAUCCCCCUUGAAGAUAAGUGUCAUCAAAAAAAGGUUUAUUUUCAAAGAAUGUAACGUCCAUAGUGACAAUUUUUUUUUUGUUUUUUGGAUCUAAACAUUUAUAUCCUUUUUGUGUUGGGGAGUAUCCAACAAAAACACAUUUUAUAGCACGCGAUUCAAAUUUUUCAAUAUUUUUAUGUUCAUGAACAAAGUCUGUGCAACCAAAGAUUUUUAAUGUCAUAUCAGUUAAAACACGAGUAGUAAGAAAACAUUCUUUGAAGACAUUAAUUGGAGUUUAAAAAUUGAGAAUUUUAGAGGGCAUUCUAUUUAAUUACGCAGCUGUUAAAACAGUUUCGUCCCACAAAUAAUUUGAUACUUUAUCUGAAAAAAGUAGAGCUCUAGCAACCUCCAAUAAAUGUAUUUUUCCUUUUAGCUACUCCAUUUUGUUGAGAAGUAUUAGGACAUGAACUUGGAUGUACAAUCUCAUUUUUAAAAAAAAAAUCAUCUAGGAUAAUGUUAAAAUAUUCUUUGCCAUUAUCACUUCUAAAGAUUUGGAUAUUUGUUUGAAAAUGGUUAUGCGCCAUUGUAAAAAAAUUCUUUACAGCCUGACAAACAUCUGAUUUUCCCUUUAGCAAAUACACCUAACAUACUCUUGUAUGAUCAUUUGUAAAUGUGAUAAACCAUUUUUUGAGAGCGAGUGUACUUGUAUGGUUAGGGCCCCAAACAUCACUGUGAAUAAUAGAAAAAAGUUUUUAUGAUUUAUAAGGUUGUAUUGAAAAUUGGGAACGAUGAUGCUUUGCAAACUCACAUGCUUCACAUUUAACCGAAGAAAAGUUCUUAUUAUGAAAUAACUUAGGAAACAAGUGUUUUAAGUAACGAAAACUAGAAUGACCUGAUCUUAAAUAUCAUACCAUAAUGUUGUCAUCUUUAUUAUUCAUGUUAAGAAAUGUGGUUGAAUCUAACUCAAUUCUACAAAACCGGUUGGUAGAGUGAGGAUUACCCCCACUUAUAAACACAUGUUCAAGUCAUAUAUUAUCCGAUGUGGUACUCUUAACACCCCCUCACGCUCAGGACUAGACAACUGGAGCGUGGAAAUAAAUUGUGGAUGACCUGAUAGCGGAAACCAUAGUAGGUGGCCCACCGGAUCUUAAACCAGACUCUGAUACCAUUGGUUGGUAGAGUGAGGAUUACCCCCACUUAUAAACACAUGUUCAAGUCAUAUAUUAUCCGAUGUGGGAUUCUGGCCUCACGCUCAGGACUAGACAACUGGAGCGUGAAAAUAAAUUGUGGAUGACCCGAUAACGGAAACCAUAGUAGGUGGUCCACCGGAUCUUAAACCAGACUCUGAUACCAUGUUAAGAAUGUGUGGUAAGUCAGUUCUUAAAUUCCUCUUGUCAGGAACACAUGGAUGUUGUUAUUCGGAUUCUGAGAUACAUCAAAUGUGCUCCAGGAAAAGGUCUAGUGUAUGAAAAUAAAUGACAUAUUCAGAUAGUUGGAUACUCCGAUGCUGAUUGGGCAGAGUCACCCAUUGAUAGACGAUUCACCUCCUGGUAUUGUGUACUUGUUAGAGGAAACCUUAUAUCCUGGAAAAGUAAGAAACAAAACAUGGUUGCAAGAUCAAGCGCCGAGGCAGAGUAUAGGGCAAUGACAAUGGCAACAUGUGAACUUAUUUGGUUAAAACAGUUGCUCAAGGAACUUCAAAUUGAAGAAGAAAGACCAAUGACAUUUAUUUGUGAUAAUCAAGCUGCAUUACACAUUGUUUCGAAUCCAGUCUUCCAUGAGAGGACCAAACAUAUUAAGAUAGACUGUUACUUUGUCAGAGAGAAAAUCGGGUCAGGUGACAUCGUCACAAACUUUGUCAACUCUAAUGAUCAAUUGGCUGACGUGCUUACAAAAUCCCCACGAAGCUCCAAAACUAAUUAUAUAUGUAACAAGCUUGGUGCAUUUGACUUAUAUGCUCAAGCUUGAGGGGGGUGUUGAUAUUUGUAAAUAUAGUGUUAAGAAUAUUUAUAUACUGAAUAGUCCCACAUCGACUAUAUCAUGUAACUAAUUGUAAUCUCUCUAUAUAUAAUAAAGUCUUCGUAGUGCUUUUCAAAAGACACGGUUUAUUCAAAUGUCUCUUAGUCUCUUGUAUUUCAACAUGUUAAAAAAUAUGAUUGGGCCUAACUCAACCCUACAAAACCGGUUGGUAGAGUGAGGAUUGCCUCAUUUAUAAAUACAUUUUCAAGCCUUAUAUUAUCUGAUGUGGGACUCUUAACACACCCUCUCAUGCUCAGGACUAGACAACUAGAGCAUGAAAAUAAAUGGUGGAUGACCCAAUAGCGAAAACCCUCACGUUCAGGGCUAGACAACUGAAGCGUGAAAAUAAAUGAUGAGUGGACUGAUAGCGGAAACCAUAGUAGGUGGCCUACCGGAUCUUAAAUCGGGCUCUGAUACCAUGUUGAAAUACAAAAGAUUAAGAGACAUUUGAAUAAACCGUGUCUUUUGAAAAACAUUACGGAGACUUUAUUAUAUAUAGAGAGAUUACAACUAAUUACAUGAUAUAGUCGAUGUGAGACUACUCGAUAUACAAAUAUUCUUAACACUAUAUUUACAAAUAUCAACAAUUCAAAACAGAAAAAGACUCGAAGUAGGAACUUAUUGUUUUUGAAGGUAGUUGUGAUGUAGAUCCAAUGUCAAGGUAGUAGAGUCCUCCACUCUCCUUAGCACUGCCAAUCAUCUUCCCUGAAUUCAAAUCCUGAAAGACACAGUGAGAUCGAUAAAAAUUAGUUUGACAAUUUAUAUCUUGGGCUAAUUUAUUGACGGACAUUAAAUUACAUGAUAAGUUUGGAACAUGAAGGACAUUUUUAAGAGUUAACAUUAGAGACAACACAAUUGACCCUUUAACUGCAAUGAUCGAAAAGGAGUCAUCUGUGAUUUUUAUUUUUUUAUUACCUGUACAUGGACUAUUUGAAGAGAACAAAAUAGAUUUAGCUGUCAUGUGAUCAGAGGCACCUGAAUCUGCUAUCCAAUUAUGAAUGAAACUUACAUUAAAAAAUGCAGAAUUAUCUUUUACUGCUAUAAAGCAAGAAGGGGUUGGAGACUCGAGGAGUUUGUACUGUCUGUGUAGUUGUUCUCAGCGCUGUGCAUACUCCUUGAAAGAUUCAUUCUCUUUCUGAGACAUGCUUUGAAGUUGAGUGCGAUUAGGAGCUAAGUCAGUAUUGUACUUAUACUGCUUAGAGAAAGCUUUUAGAAAGUUCAGCCCAAGUACGCACAUUAUUGCGUUUCAGCUGCAUAUACCACUCUAGAGAUGUCCCAGUUAAGCUAUCCUGGAAGCAGUGGAUCAUUAGCUUAUCGUCUCUAGCGUGCGCAACCAUUUUACGACAAUACAUCUUCAAGUAGCUCAAGCUUGUACACAAUAGAUCGUACGUUUGUCGGACACUGAAAGGAAUAAAAUACUUUUGGGAGAAGUUUGAUGUUUUUGUUUAGCCAUUGUCGACUGGCAAUAUGAUUGAAAUUACAGCUAUACCAAACCCCGAUCUAGUAAACUCAAUAUUGAAAAUAAUAGGUAAAAACUGUUCUAUUUUAUUCUUCAAUCAAAGGUUGUCUUGUAUAGUGAGAAUACAAUUAAUACAAUUAAUUCUCUCUUUAAUGGAGAAUAAAAAUAAAUACAUGAGAAUAAACGGAAACAAUAAAAACGGGGAAAUAAAAUAUUUUCCAACACCCCUUCUCAAAUUGGUGCAUAAAUGUCUAUCAUGCCCAACUUGUUUAUCAAAUGUUCGAAGGUAAGUCUUGUCAAACCUUUGGUCAGGAUAUCUGCAGUUUACUGACUUGAAAUCACGAAAGGUAGACAUAUGAUUCCACCAUCUAACUUCUCCUUUAUGAAGUAUUGAUCAAUCUCAAUAUGCUUGGUUCUGUCAUGUUGAACGGAUUAUGAGUUAUGCUUAUAGCAGCUUUAAUGUCGGAGUAUAAGGAUUCAUAAUCUUUCACAAAAUAGCUCUAAACUCGACUUCUGCAUUACUUCCUUGCUAAAACUCCUUGUUUCUUGCUUACAACUCCAUGUCGCAAGAUUAUCCCAAACAUAGGUACAAUAUCUAGAGAUUGAUCUUCUAUCUGUGACUGAACCUGCUCAAUCAGUAUCGGUGAAGAUAGACACAUUUCUUUCACUAGUCUUCUUAAAAAAUAAGUCUUUUUUAGGAUUUUCCUUCAAAUAUCUUAGUAUCCUAUAGACUGCCUCAAGAUGUUACUCGAAAGAAGAAUGCAUAAACUGACUUACUUCACUCACUGAGAAAGCAAUAUCAGGUCAGAUGUGUGACAAAUAAACCAGUUUACCAACCAAUCUUUGAUAUCUUCCAGUAUCAACAAGAACAUUACCUUCUCCUCAAAGUUUAACAUUAGGAUCCAUAGGGGUAUCUGCAGGACGACAUCCACUCAUUCUUGUUUCUUCCAAUAAGUCUAGAAUGUAGUACUGCUGUGAAACCACAAUACCACUUUUUGACCGAGCAACCUCGAUAGCUAGAAAAUAUAUCAUGAAUCCCAAGUCCUUGAUUUCAAAGUCUAUUGUCAAUUUCUCUUUUACUCUUGUCAUUUCUACUGUAUAGUCCUGUAAGGACAAUAUCAUCAACAUAAACAAUCAGGGCAACAACUUUUCCAUCGCGGGAGAACUUUGUGAACAAGGUGUGGUCAGCCUGUCCUUGGAUGUACCCUUGUUUCUUCGCGGACUAAGUGAAUAUUUCAAACCAGGCUCUAGGGGACUGCUUUAAACCAUACAAAGACUUAUUUAGUUUGCAUAUAUUUGAUCCAAAUUUGUUUUCAAAGUCAAGAGGAAUGUCCAUAUAUACUUCUUCUUCUAGAUCGCCAUUAAGAAAGAAAUUCGUAACAUCUAAAUGAUUUAGGGGCCAAUCCAGGUUAGCAGUAAGAGAUAAACGAAUUCUGACAGUGUUCAAUUUUGCAACAGGAGCAAAUGUCUCUGAGUAGUCUAUACCAUAGGUCUGAGUAAAGGCUUUAGCCACCAAGCGAGCCUUGUACCUUUCAAUUAACCCAUUUGAAUUAUACUUCACAGUAAACACUCAUUUGCAUUCAACUGUCAUCUUGCCAUCUGGUAGUGUUGUAACACUCCAAAUUUUGUUCUUUUCAAGAGCUUUUAUCUCCUUAAAUACAAUUUCCCUCCACUUUGGAAUUUCUAGAGCAACCUGUGCACUUUUUAGAAUUUCUACACUAGACAAUUUUGAGGUUAAGGCAGACAUAGAUGAAGACAAAUUUGAAUAUGAUAUAAAAUUGGACAUGGGGUGUUCAGUGCAAGAUCUAGAAUGUUUUCUAAUGGCAACAUGAUCAUCUAUAUCAGGAUACAAAAUAUGACUCUCAGAAACAGAGCUAGACUUAUCUUUCCUUUUCUCAGGAGGUUGAUCAUUCUCCGAUUCAGAUUUCUGGCAGUGUUGAGAUGUGGACUCGUCCCUUCAUUUGUGGUGUUUUUUCACAAAAACCUUCUCUUUCCAAGUCCUAUUGCCUAAUUCAAAUUUGUUUAAGUGACUUAUUAUUUUGUGGCAUUUCAAUUAGAUCAUCAUUAUCAUCAUUUUUAGGAUUCUCAUUAUUUUCUACAAGAGAAAAUGUAGGCUCAGGUUCACAAAGUUCCUUACUCAUAACAGGAGUAGGAUCAAAUAAAUAAUCAUGGCCAUUUUCUGUUGGUGCAGAUGUAAAUGUCUCGGAAUUGUGUUAUUGACAAAGAUAAAUUAUUUAAAAAACGCAUGUCCUCGAUUUGAAACGAGUUUUCAGUUAUAUCCCACCUUGAAGAUGAGUGUCAUCUAAAAAGGUUUAUUUUCAAAGAAUGUAACGUCCGUGUGACAAACAUUUUCUUGUUUUUUGGAUCAAAACAUUUAUAUACUUUUUGUGUUGGGGAGUAUCCAACAAAGACACAUUUUAGAGCAUGUGACUCUAGUUUUCAAACAUUUUUAUGUUUAUGAACAAAUGAUGUGCAACCAAAGAUUUUUAAUGUCAUAUCAGUUAAAACACGAGUAUUAGGAAAACAUUAUUUGAAGACAUUAAUUGGAGUAUUAAAAUUGGGAAUUUUGGAGGGCAUUCUAUUAAUUAAAUACACAACUGUUAAAACAACUUCGCCUUACAAAUAAUUUGGUACUUUAUUUGGAAAAAGUAAAGCUCUAGCAACCUCCAAUAAAUGUUUAUUUUUUCUUUCGGCAACUCUAAUUUGUUGAGGAGUAUUAUGACAUGAACUUUGAUGUACAAUCCGAUUUUUAGAAUAAAUCAUCCAGGAUAGUGUUAGAAUAUUCUUUGCCAUUAUCACUUCUAAAGACUUGGAUAAUUGUUUAAAUUGAUUCUGCUCCAUUGUAAAAAAAUUCUUUACAUGAUGACAAACAUUUGAUUUCCCCUUUAACAAGUACACCCAACAUACUCUUGUAUGGUUAUAUAUAAAUGUGAUAAACCAUUUUUUGAGAGAGAGUGUACUUGUACGGUUAUGGUUUAUAAGGCUGUAUUGAAAAUUGAGAACGAUGAUGCUUUGCAAACUCAUAUGCUUCACAUUUAAAAGAAGAAAAGUUUUUAUUAUGAAAUAACUUAGGAAACAAGUGUUUUAAGUAAUGAAAACUAGGAUGACCUGGUCUUAAAUGCUAUACCAUAAUGUUGUCAUCUUUAUUAUUCAAAACUGAAAAAGACUCGAAGCAAGAACAUUUUAUUUUCUAAGGUAGUUGUGAUGCAUAUCCAAUGUCAAGGUAACAGAGUCCUUCACUCUCCUAAGCAUUGCCAAUCAUCUUCCCCAAGUUCAAAUCCUGAAAGACAUAGUGAGAUCGGAAAAAAUUAGUUUGACAAUUUUUAUAUUGGGUUAAUUUACUGACGAACAUUAAAUUACAUGAUUUGAAACAUGAAGAAUAUUUUUAAGAGUUAACACUGGAGGCAACACAAUUGAUCAUUUACCUGCAAUGGUUGAAAAUGAGCCAUUUGUGAUUUUUUAUUUUUUGAUGACCUGCACAUGGACUAUAUGAAGAGAACAAAGUAGAUUCACUUGUAAUGUGAUUAGAGACACCUGAAUCUACUAUUCAAGUAUGACUGAGACUGACAUUAAGAAAUACAAAAUUAUUUUUUGCUACUAUAGAGCACGAAAGGGUUGGAGACUCUAGGAGUUUGUAGAGGUGAAUCUACACCUGUCAUGUUCAUGUUUUACUUUCAUGGAACCUUUGGACUUGUUAUUAGCAAGUAUUCAAAAAGAGCAUAAAAAUAGAAAAUAAAAAGGAACCAAACAAAUACAUAUAUAAGUACAAUAAUCCAGACAAAUACAACAUCCAAUCAAGUACGAAAUUCUUUUAAAAAGAAAGGGAAGUACAAAACAAUGGUCAAACUGUCUACUUUCGCUCCUUGAGUUCUCUCAACUCCUCCUUGAACCUCUGUACCAUCCCCUCGUAGAACAAAAUAAAAUUGAAAGCUGAAGGGUGAGUGUUGUCUUUAUCCAUUUCUUCCAGAGCGUCUCUCAGCUUCCAAUACAUGUCUAUAGUCAGCCAAAUGCAGAAUUCCACCAUGUUAGUGAACUUCUCACGGCUGCGUGCAGAAAAUUGAUGGUUUUCUCAUAGGUGUCUAAGUUACCAUUUAUGUGUUGCCUUUCACCUUACCAUUCUAAACUUUCACUCUGCAAGAAUUUAAAUCGAUGUUUCAUGUGUUGUGGGCACCUCUUGGCAUUUUCCAUGGUACAGCAAGAGAAGUGCCAAGAGAUGGAAAACGCCAAGGGGUGCACACAUCAUUGGAAAUAUCGAUUUGAGUCCCUGCAGAGUGAAAGCUUAGAAUUGCUAGGUGAAGGGCAACACCUAAAUGGGAAAUGAGACAACUAUGAGAAAAACAUCAACUUUUACACGCAGAUAAUACCGUGAAAAGUUCACUAGCCUGGUGGAAUUCUGCAAUUGGCUGACCAGGACAUGUCUUGGAAGCUGAGAGAUGCUCUGGAAGACAUGGAUAAAGACAACACUCACUCUUCAGCUUCCAACUUUGUUUUGUUCUAUAAGGGGAUGAUGCAGAGGUUCAAGGAAGGGAUGAGAGAGCGAAAACAGACAGUUUGACCGUUGUUUUGUACUUUUCUUUUUUAAAAGAAUUUUAUUUGCCUAGAUUAUUGUACUUGAUCAUGUAUCUGCUUCAAAUGAGAAAAUCCGACUCUCUUGCACCAAUCUUUGGUUCCUUCUUAUGUUUUGUUCUUAUGCUCUUUUUGAAUACUUGUUAAUAAUAACAAGUCCAAAGGUUCCCUUAAAGUAAAACAUCAUCUCCAGAAAAUAAGUUGAUUCCUCGACAUCGUUACGCUACUCGCACCAAUACUCGAAGAGCAAUGGAUCAAAUUGAGCAUAAUCAAGCAGCCAUGAGGGAAGAGAUUGACACUAUCAAGAGUAAAGUUGAUCAGAUUCUUGAGACUAUGUUGACUCUGGCCAAAAGAGAGGAUGAGCUUCACAAUGCUGUCACUAUAGGAAAUGUUGUUCCAGUUCAGGGAUCUACUCCGUAGCUACGACCUGUAGUCCCUAAUCCUUUGAUUUAUGACCUUUCUCCGGGCUAUACUUCUCCACUUAAGGGAAUUCCUACUCAACCAGUGCAUAUCUUUGUUGUCACUGAUAGACUUACUGCUCAAGAACAACCUGCUACUAGCCAUAUUCCACCUCCUCAUAUCGAUGAGGAACUCCAGAAUGAAUAUGAAAGGCAGAACUAUCAUGAAGCUAUCCCUGUGAUCAAUCCAGUGGUUGCUCAGGAUUCUGAGGCUAUUCAAAUAUGUCGCACUCUGGCUUAGAAAUUAAGGGUCAUGGAAGGACACAAUUCAGCUAGCAUGAAUGCUUUGGAGAUGUCGUUAGUGUCGGACUUCGAGAAGUAUAAGAGCCGUAGUUGUCCCAAGAUCCACUUGAAGAUGUAUUGUCGUAAAAUGGCUUAGGUUCUAGCCCAAGUUCCUUAGAAUCCGUAUCAGCAAAGGAACCAAUAGCGUCGGAAUCAACAAUAGCGUCUGAACCAACAAAGGGCAUACUAUCAGUAUAAUAAUGUGGAUAUUGAUCCUAUACCCAGUUAUUAUCUUACUUAAAUCAAAACGGAACGGUUGUAUCCAGGGCAUUAACACCCAUGCCAAAGCCACACAAAGCUUUGGUAUGAUGAGAAUGCUAGGUGCACAUAUCAUGAUAAUUCUAAAGGGCAUACAACUGAGAAUUGUCGGGCAUUUAAGCUUAGAGUACAAGAACUGAUAGAUCAGAAGAUGAUGUCCUUUGCAGACAUUCCAAACGUUUGGAAAAUCCUUUACCUGGGCAUGGUGGUUCAGCUGUCAAUGCCCUAGAGGGAGCUACGAAUGAGGGCUUGGUAAAAGAAGUGUUCGAGGUGAAAGCUUCCAAUGAGAGCCUGGCAAAAGAUGUGUUCCGAGGUGAAAGUUUCCAUGACAAUAGUCCAUGCGAAGUUGGCUGAAGCUGGAUUGAUCAGAGGAGUGUACAAUAAGUGCAACGUGUGUUUAUCCACUCCAAAUCUGUGUGAAGAGUUCAAAGAAUAUCUGCAACAUCUAAUGGAUCAACAUGUGGUCCAAUUUAGCAGAAUGUGUUAGACGGUGUGGCUAGUGAUCGAGAGGGGGGUGAAUAGAUCACCUCUUUUAAAAUAAACGGAUUUAAAAAAUCUUAUCAGAGUUAUUGAAACUUAGCGGAAAAUUACAGUCCCGAAUCGACUUCCGUCUAUUCUGAACCGCUACUAGAAAACCGGACACGCGAAUUUAUUGCUGGAUUUGAAUUAGAACGAUAGAGAUUAUUAACACCAGAAUAUUAUCAAAUCAAAUGCACUUAUCACUAAAUUCUAAUUCCAAUGAAUAAAACUCAGCUGACAGUUUUGUCAAACAUUUGGUGUGUAUGUGAUCAAUGAUGAACAAUGGUGGAGUUUAGAUAAAGAAGUUUUCUUGCCACUAUUGUAUCACGAAAUGUACAGUCACAAUACACCAACUGAAAUCACAAAANNNNNNNNNNNNNNNNNNNNNNNNNNNNNNNNNNNNNNNNNNNNNNNNNNNNNNNNNNNNNNNNNNNNNNNNNNNNNNNNNNNNNNNNNNNNNNNNNNNNNNNNNNNNNNNNNNNNNNNNNNNNNNNNNNNNNNNNNNNNNNNNNNNNNNNNNNNNNNNNNNNNNNNNNNNNNNNNNNNNNNNNNNNNNNNNNNNNNNNNNNNNNNNNNNNNNNNNNNNNNNNNNNNNNNNNNNNNNNNNNNNNNNNNNNNNNNNNNNNNNNNNNNNNNNNNNNNNNNNNNNNNNNNNNNNNNNNNNNNNNNNNNNNNNNNNNNNNNNNNNNNNNNNNNNNNNNNNNNNNNNNNNNNNNNNNNNNNNNNNNNNNNNNNNNNNNNNNNNNNNNNNNNNNNNNNNNNNNNNNNNNNNNNNNNNNNNNNNNNNNNNNNNNNNNNNNNNNNNNNNNNNNNNNNNNNNNNNNNNNNNNNNNNNNNNNNNNNNNNNNNNNNNNNNNNNNNNNNNNNNNNNNNNNNNNNNNNNNNNNNNNNNNNNNNNNNNNNNNNNNNNNNNNNNNNNNNNNNNNNNNNNNNNNNNNNNNNNNNNNNNNNNNNNNNNNNNNNNNNNNNNNNNNNNNNNNNNNNNNNNNNNNNNNNNNNNNNNNNNNNNNNNNNNNNNNNNNNNNNNNNNNNNNNNNNNNNNNNNNNNNNNNNNNNNNNNNNNNNNNNNNNNNNNNNNNNNNNNNNNNNNNNNNNNNNNNNNNNNNNNNNNNNNNNNNNNNNNNNNNNNNNNNNNNNNNNNNNNNNNNNNNNNNNNNNNNNNNNNNNNNNNNNNNNNNNNNNNNNNNNNNNNNNNNNNNNNNNNNNNNNNNNAUCAAUAAUGCCGAAUUCGUUGAUACAAGGUUACAAUACAAAGACAGAAAUCUAAAUCCCAAGAUCUUCUUCUUGUAUAAAACCUCCACUUGAUCUGAGCUCGAUCAAGAAUUUCCUGCAAGAAAUUGCAAACAAUUCACCGGUUCCACGACCUGUUUGCGAAAUUACCCAAUUUCCAAACCCUACGCUACGGCUGAAUCUGUUCUGCAAACGUGACUAACAAACCCGCAAGAACACUCCAGUUCUUGAAGGACAAACCAUUUGGUUUUUCCUCGAAACCCCCUUCAACCUUCAACUCAGCUAGAUCCUCGAUCGUUCCACUGAACACCUCAGCUAGAUCCUUGAUCGUUCCACUGAACGUUAUCUCGUUGAUCCUUUAAUCCAAAGAACAAGCAUGAUUAUGUGUUGAUGUUCUUGAAGAAAAGAGAUUGAGAAGAUGAAGAAGAUGAAGUCUCUUUCAGGUUUCUAACUGCUCAAACAAUUGCUGCUACGCACUCCUUUGAUUUGUGUUACAACUGUUUUUCACUUGUGAAUUCGUGCCCUUUUUCUAAGUUGUCAAAAUACUUCUUAUAUGUGGAAGACAGAAGCUGUUAGUAGACAAAACAAAAUUAUGUAUUGAUACAAAGGAUUAUGCAUCGAUACAUACUGUAGCUUUGAUUAAUUUUAGAGAAUUAAUAUAAGCAUGUAUCGAUACAAAGCUCGUAUGUAUCGAUACAUAUAACAUUUUAACUAAGCAUGUAUCGAUACAAAGCUCGUAUGUAUCGAUUACAUAGGACAUUUACGAAAUAAUAGUAUAGGCUAAAAACACAAAUGAAACAUGUAAAAUAAUGCACAACCAACAAUUAGACAAUGAUCACACAAUUUGCUAUCAUUCAAAACUUAUUCAAAGUAAAGAAUUUGCUCACAAACUCCCCCUUUUUGAUGAUGGCAAAUUUUUAGCAAGAUGUGUGAUACUCCCCCUGAGUUUGUGCAUAUCUGUCAACAUCUGCAUUUCUCCCCCUUUGUCAACAUCAAAAAGAAGAAAAAAACAGUUUUAUCAAGGCAACAUGUUGUAGCAGGACACAGCAAAAAUGAUAAAGAAGCUAACAAUCACAAAGAAGGAAGCUUAAAAAGUAAAGAAUCACUCACAAAGAAUGACAAAUAAGGGCAAUAACACCAGAAGUAAGCAGAAGGAAAUAAGCAUUUAACUAGUAGAAAGUAUUUAAAAAUUACAUAAGCCAAGACAUAUAAGGUGCAACUAAUCUGAAAAGAAAAAAACUCAAGCAACAUGCAAUGAAAUGCAGUGAAAUGAAAUGAUGAUGGUUUAAUGUGGAUUAUAGCCACCACAGGACUCCUCGUCAUCUCUAUCAGGAUCUCUGAAGCUUGGCGGAGGCGGAGGAGGAGGCAUUGCAUCUGGAUUGUGGCCCAUGAAGGUGUAGUGCCUGAACCGGUCCUGAACUUCAACACUUCUGAAUCUGUCCAUAAUACCAGGAUUGGCACGGCAGUCGUCCAUAAAACCAGACAUUUCAUUGUAGAAGACUUGGUGCCACUUAACCAAGUCCGUGUGCCAAGAGUGUUGGUUAUGGUACAUCCGUGUAUGAUCGUCAUGCCACUCACGAUGCUCCUUAUGCCACUCACUUUGUUGUACAUGCCAAGACCGUGCCUCUUCAUGACGUUCUUGGUUGGCAAGCUCCAUUUGUUGAAGCAUUUGAGUUAGGUGCGCAGUAGGUGUUGAAGAUGAAGCACCGCCGGAGAACGGAGGAACCGUUGGUUCAGGUACAUAGUUGGUUGGAGACCACCUUUGUGGCACCCAAUCACCCCAACCAGCAUUGUCAUCAGCUGCAGGCACAUCUGCUUCGUUCACAUCAUGCAUUUCUUCAUCAGGUUGGUCUUCAACUACAUGAAUUCGUUCAGAAGGCACAUCAAAAUUAUAGAUCCUUGUUUUGGAUUUCCUUUCAAAGAAAUAGAAACAUUGACGUUCCUUGUCCCACCGAUAUCCCAUAUGAGAUAAAGUGGAAGAGUCAAACUCUUGAGCAGCAGAUGGUGAUAUGAGAGGAACUAAAGGGAUUGCAACAUUCCAGAACGUAAGAAUUUUCAUGAUUUGAGACGCAUAACCAAGAGCAACAUUCUUGGCACUGUUACGCACGAAAAAGAGACGCUUCACAAAGUAAUUUGCCCAAUUCAAGGGAACCUUAUUUUGAAGAAUAUACAAGAGAUGAAUGUCUGCCCUGUCUAACCUAGAAUGUCCACUGUUUGCUGGACGCAGAAUGUGUGAGAUAAUCCAAUGAAGUAUACGAGCAAUUUUCUUAAUCAUACCAGACGUAACCUGUUCAUCCUCACCCAGCGGUCUGUCCAAUUUCAAGAUAGAUAGAGUAAACUCCUUCAGGUUAAAGUCAGUAUCAAACUUCAAAGUCAUGAAAUUAUGCGACGGAAGCGGAAUUUGAAACACUGUUUCCCAAUCAGCAGCCUCAAAAGUAUAGGUUCUGACACCAAUAGAAUACUUAAACAUAUAUCCUUUACCAGAUUGUAAGCCAUCAUAAAAUGCACGGAUAAAAUCCUCAUGGUAAUCAUCCUUUGUAGUAAAAAAUGAACCAAGUUUUUGUGCAUUCAGGAGUUCUACCACAUCAUUGAGAUGCAGAUGAAUAGCAUCAUGUUUAUCGAAGACAUGGGGUUUCAUAACUAACCUUGUCUUGAAAGAAUCCUCAAACUCAGUAGCAAUUGCAGGAUGAAGCAAAUAAGCAUCAUGUUUAUCGAAGACAUGGGGUUUCAUAACUAACCUUGUCUUGAAAGAAUCCUCAAACUCAGUAGCAAUUGCAGGAUGAAGCAAAUCUAAGGCAUUAGGAGGAAUUUCUGGUAACUGCUGAAAAGUGUCAACCGGUUCCUUUCCUUUUCCUUUUCCCCUUACUCUAGCCGGAAUGAUUCUUGGAGGCAUGGUGAUGAAAAAUUGAAGAAAAGUGAGAUGAAUUUAGGGUUUUGGAGAGAAUGAUGAUGAAGGAGAUUAGGGGAAUUGCUGAUGUGUCGAUCCAUGAGUGAAAUAAAAUGCAUUUAAUUCAAAAACAAUCAGUAUGUGUCGAUACAUAUGGGAAUGGAUCGAUCCAUGUCACGAGUUUUUUUUUUUUUUAAAAAAGGUUUAUGUAUCCAUACAAACGACGAAUGGAUCGAUACAUACUGAACCAAUUUUGACAAAUGUGAAAUGAAGAAGACAUGAAUCGAUACAUACAUCUUUGAAUCGAUACAUCAGCAAUUCCCCUAAUCUCCUUCAUCAUCAUUCUCUCCAAAACCCUAAAUUCAUCUCACUUUUCUUCAAUUUUUCAUCACCAUGCCUCCAAGAAUCAUUCCGGCUAGAGGAAGGGGAAAAGGAAAAGGAAAGGAACCGGUUGACACUUCUCAGCAGUUAUCAGAAAUUCCUCCUAAUGCCUUAGAUUUGCUUCAUCCUGCAAUUGCUACUGAGUUUGAGGAUUCUUUCAAGACAAGGUUAGUUAUGAAACCCCAUGUCUUCGAUAAACAUGAUGCUAUUCAUCUGCAUCUCAAUGAUGUGGUAGAACUCCUUAAUGCACAAAAACUUGGUUCAUUUUUUACUACAAAGGAUGAUUACCAUGAGGAUUUUAUCCGUGCAUUUUAUGCUGGCUUACAAUCUGGUAAAGGAUAUAUGUUUAAGUGUUCUAUUGGUGUCAGAACCUAUACUUUUGAGGCUGCUGAUUGGGAAACAGUGUUUCAAAUUCCGCUUCCGUCGCAUAAUUUCAAGACUUGGCAUGACUUGAAGUUUGAUACUGACUUUAACCUGAAGGAGUUUACUCUAUCUAUCUUGAAAUUGGACAGACCGCUGGGUGAGGAUGAACAGGUUACGUCUGGUAUGAUUAAGAAAAUUCCUCGUAUACUUCAGUGGAUUAUCUCGCACAUUCUGCGUCCAGCAAACAGUGGACAUUCUAGGUUAGACAGGGCAGGCAUUCAUCUCUUGUAUACUCUUCAAAAUAAGGUUCCCUUGAAUUGGGCAAAUUACUUUGUGAAGCGUCUCUUUUUCGUGCGUAACAGUGCCAAGAAUGUUGCUCUUGGUUAUGCGUCUCAAAUCAUGAAAAUUCUUACGUUCUGGAAUGUUGCAAUCCCUUUAGUUCCUCUCAUAUCACCAUCUGCUGCUCAAGAGUUUGACUCUUCCACUUUAUCUCAUAUGGGAUAUCGGUGGGACAAGGAACGUCAAUGUUUCUAUUUCUUUGAAAGGAAAUCCAAAACAAGGAUCUAUAAUUUUGAUGUGCCUUCUGAACGAAUUCAUGUAGUUGAAGACCAACCUGAUGAAGAAAUGCAUGAUGUGAACGAAGCAGAUGUGCCUGCAGCUGAUGACAAUGCUGGUUGGGGUGAUUGGGUGCCACAAAGGUGGUCUCCAACCAACUAUGUACCUGAACCAACGGUUCCUCCGUUCUCCGGCGGUGCUUCAUCUUCAACACCUACUGCGCACCUAACUCAAAUGCUUCAACAAAUGGAGCUUGCCAACCAAGAACGUCAUGAAAAGGCACGGUCUUGGCAUGUACAACAAAGUGAGUGGCAUAAGAAGCAUCGUGAGUGGCAUGACGAUCAUACACGGAUGUACCAUAACCAACACUCUUGGCACACGGACUCGGUUAAGUGGCACCAAGUCUUCUACAAUGAAAUGUUUGAUUUUAUGGACGACUGCCGUGCCAAUCCUGGUAUUAUGGACAGAUUCAGAAGUGUUGAGGUUCAGGCACUACACCUUCACGGGCCACAAUCCAGAUGCAAUGCCUCCUCCGCCAAGCUUCAGAGAUCCUGAUAGAGAUGACGAGGAGUCCUGUGGUGGCUAUAAACCACCAUCAUUUCAUUGCAUGUUGCUUGAGUUUUUUUCUUUUCAGAUUAGUUGCACCUUAUAUGUCUUGGCUUAUGUAAUUUUUAAAUACUUUCUACUAGUUAAAUGCUUAUUUCCUUCUGCUUACUUCUAGUGUUAUUGCCCUUAUUUGUCAUUCUUUGUGAGUGAUUCUUUACUUUUUAAGCUUCCUUCUUUGUGAUUGUUAGCUUCUUUAUCAUUUUUGCUGUGUCCUGCUACAACAUGUUGCAUUGAUAAAACUGUUUUUUUUUUAUGUUGACAAAGGGGGAGAAAUGCAGAUGUUGACAGAUAUGCACAAACUCAGGGGGAGUAUCACACAUCUUGCUAAAAAUUUGCCAUCAUCAAAACUUAUUCAAAGUAAAGAAUUUGCUCACAGAAUGAUGAUAGCAUUUAUGUAAUUGUGUCUUUGUUUGAUAAAGAGAGACUCCCUAAACCUUCGGUAGUUCCUUGCCAGAGGAAUACCACUGACACUGAAGAGUGUUCACUUCAGAAGAAGGUAAAUGAAACAGCAGUUGAACAUUCAAAGGGGAAAGAGGUUGCUACUCCGGAGUCAGGAGAAGGGCCUCAAAGAAGACUGUGUCUCCAGAAGAGGAUCAUAAAGAAGAGUGACUACAAAGUGGUAGAUCAACUCAAUCAAACCCCGUCAAAGAUCUCUAUCCUAUCUUUGCUUAUGAGUUCUGGGCCUCAUAGGACCGCCUUGCUGAAAUUCUUGAAUGAAGCUUAUGUGGCUGAAGAUAUCAGUGUCAACCAGUUCGAUAAUGUGGUCGCCAAUCUUAGUGUUGGCAGUUGCUUAAUGUUCACUGAUGAUGAUUUGCCACCCAAUGGGCGUGAGCACACCAUGGCUCUACAUAUUUCCAUCAAGUGUGCUGAUGCUACUCUAUCUCGAGUACUGGUCGGUACAUGUUCAUCCCUGAAUGUGCUCUCAAAGACUACUCUGGCACAGUUGAAUGUUGAAGGAGUGCAAAUGAGGCAGAAUGCACUGGUGGUGAAGGUUUUUGAUGGUUCUAAGCGAACAAUUAUUGGAGAGAUUGAUCUUCCAAUCCUGAUUGGCUCGCAGACUGUCACCUCGACACUCCAUCAGAAGCGAAAGUUUGUCACCGGUGAUAAGCUAGUCUCAAUCUCUAGAGAAGAGGGUAUCAUUGUCAGCCACCUAUCUUCGUUCAAAUAUAUGUCUAGUUAUUCCGUAGUGAUUGGAAGCUGAGUUAAAAGGGAUUGCCGCCCUUGAUCAGAAUUACUAGUCCGAAAUGCAUAAUCACCUUUCUUCUUUCAGUUAGGAGGUUUGCCUUUGAGCUUCCAACAACUUUCACGCGUAUGCCAUUCACGUUUGCAGGUAUCACACCAAGGAACUUUGUCCGACCUUUUUCCCUCGUCAAGGUUCCUAGUAGUCAGAGCUGAGCCUUCAGCAUGGUGUCUUGCUCAUCAUAAUUCUUUCUCUUGCCUCCUCCUUUUUUAUUUCUGCAAAAGUUUCACUGAGAGUUGGCAAUUGUAUUUUUCCUAAAGCUCUACCUUUUACCUCAUCAAGAUCUUUAUUGAUCCCAGCGAGAAACAUGAAUACACGAUCAUUUUCUUGCCUUUUGAAAAACAAAACACUGUCUUCUGUACACCUCCAAUUGUCAACAUAACAUAGAUCCAACUUUUGCCACAGAGUCAACAGCUCAUUAUAAUGAGCAGUUACACUCUUGUCAUCUUGUUUCACAUGCCAUAACUUUGAUUCUAAACCAAAAAUUUAGGGGUUCUGCAUAUCAGAGUAUGUUUCCUUAACAAAAUUCCGCACAUCCUUUGCAGAAGGGAAAAACACGUAAGGCUUAUCUAUUCCAGUUUUUCAUAGAGUUUAUCAACCACGCAAUAACUAAGGAGUUUGAGUCCAUCAUUAUAGUUAUUCCCAUUCAUUUUAGGAAUAUUGACCUUGAGGGAGUAUGAGGAACCCCCUUGAUCAUUGCCGCCUAUGGUGGAAUAACUGUUACCAAAAACAAUGUUGUUCCUGUUUCCAUUGUUGCCGCCAUUACUGCCACUGUUUGUGACUACCAACAUUUCAUCUAGUAUGACAUUUCCGCGACCUCUGCUUUUUCUGCGGCCACCGCCGUCUCCUCUGCCGCCGCCUGACUCAGACUGUGGUUGCUCGCCAUGGUUGGAUCCAGUGUAGGCCUGUGUCGAAGAAGAUCACCUGUUGUUAUUCGUCAUAGGGGCUAAACGGGUAUGUAAAGUGGGUUGGGUAAGUAAGCGGGUCGACCCCCACUAGUUGUGGAAAGCCUUAAAGUAAACCCUAACCUUAUGCUCUUGAUACCAUAUUGAAAAUAAUAGAUAAAAGAUGGUCUAUUUUAUUCCUCAGCCUUUGGCUGACUUAUAUAGUAAGAAUACAAUUAAUACACUUAAUUAUCUCCUUAAUGGAGAAUAAAGAUAAAUGAUUGAGAAUAAUCGGGAACAAUAAAAACGGAGAAAUAAAAUAUUUUCAACUCUCAACUUUAUAUGCUUUUGUUUAGCAGCGAAGCACGGCAACAUGAAAUACAAAUAACAUUCGGAGUUUUUCAUAUUUAUAACCAAGAAACCGCCUAAGUCCCAACCUGUCAGAAUGUUAUGAUCAUUGUUCCGUAAUGGAUUUGACCAUUCCUAGAACCCCAGUUGGAGUCCAUUCAGAUGUUAAAAAAUAUAAUAAUGAUCAACUCGGAUUGUCUUUUGAGGUUGAUGACGAUGAAGGUUGACUCUGGUCAGCUCUUCAUGUUAAGCUUUCACAAAUGAGUAGUUAUCUAUCUGAUGAUGUAGGGUUAUAUAAAUUUAAUGUCGUUUUUUUCUUCAAUUUUGUUGAUUUUUUUAUUCUUCUCUAUUCAACAUCUUAACAUGUUUUGCUCAUGUAAAGACUUGAAUCUCCAGCUACAAUCGAUUGGGGAAGAAUGCUAGUGAAACAGAUGCAGAAGAGAUUAUUGAAAUGGCCAGUAAAGCCUCUGUUGCCGAUCAACAAAUGCUAGUACAAGAAAAUGUUCAUUCUCAAAUUAAAGCAUUUUGCACGUUAAUGGAUGAAGUUCUUCUUACAAAUGAAAAGACGGGGAAUGACAGCUACUUCGAGUUACUAUCUCAACAAACAAACGUUUUACCUCGAAAUACUGAGCAUAGUUCUGCCAAUGGUAAGUGUGUAUCAAUCUUGCUGAUCUCACAAUAUUCCUAUAUCUUUAACUAAGUGAUUGAGUUUAAGCUAAAGUUGAAUUGUUUGAGAGAACCCGAGUCCGAAUCUCGGUUUCGACAAUUCUUGGUCGGACUUUACCUAUCACUUUGCCGAACUCCGGAUUACCAAAGUCCCUAUAGGAACCAUAGGGUUAUGACAAAAAAAAACCUUUUUACAGCGAUUAUGAAAUGUUAUUGUCAAAAUUAUAACUAUUGCCUAUUUACUCUAUUCAUCUACUAAUGAGGUGUUGAACAGGUUUUCCGAAACAAAGACCGAUAAGUCAAGCUGAACUUUCGCAGAAAUUAAAGGACGAACUUGGCUACACGCUCAAUGUUAAACCUUCUCAAAUAUCUCACAAGGAUGCUGGCAAAGGUCUAUUUUUAGAUGGUGUAGUAGAUGUUGGUGCUGUGGUAGCCUUUUAUCCCGGGGUAGUAUACUCUCCAGCUUAUUAUCAUCAUAUUCCUGGAUAUCUUGAUGAGCAGAACCCCUAUUUGAUUACAAGACAUGACGGGACUGUCAUUGACGCCCAACCUUGGGGUCGUGGAGGUGACGGGAGAGAACCGUUAAAUGGUGGUAAAAUGGUAGACGAGAAAGGGUCUCAAGUAGAUAAUAGCGACGAUGUACUCGAGCGUAGAAAUCCACUAGCCUUGGCACAUUUUGCUAAUCAUCCUUCAAAAGGAAUGCUUCCAAAUGUCACAAUUUGCCCUUAUGACUUUCCAUUGAUUGAAAAUGACAUUAGAGCCUACAUUCCUAAUAUAUUAUUUGGAAAUGCAACAAAAGUAAAUGUGGACAGAUUUGGAAGUUCCUGGUUCAAAUCUAGAGUUUCAAGAAAUACUGAAUCACAUGUUCCUACUACUCUGAAAACUGUUGUUUUGGUAGCAACUAGGGCUCUUCAAGAUGAAGAACUUCUCCUGAACUACAGGCUGAGCAACACGAAGCGGUUGCCUGAAUGGUAUGCUCCAGUUGAUGAAGAAGAGAUCAUAGAAAGGUCAAAUUAGCCAAUGACGCGAUGAAGUUGCGAUGGCUUGAUGAAGUAAUUUUUUUUCCCAUUAUUUGUACAUUAUCUCAAAGAUGUAAGAAUGAGGUCAUGUCUCUUUUGUGAUGGAUGAGCAUGAUGAUAUGACCAAAUUUUUAAGGCUUGAUUUUGGCUUUUUUUUCAGAAGUCAAAAUCUACUUCAAGGCUACACAGUGUGGCUAUAGUUAUACUAAAUAAAUCAAGGUGAUAUUAAAAGUUAAAAGUUAUAAGUCAUUACUUAUUUUAGAUAUAUGUUUAGGCAGAUUUUCAUUACAUCUUAUGAAUUUGUUACAAGUUCUGAGAAACUCUGAAAAUACCUAUGUGCAGAAGUUAUCUUUUGAUCUUUUAUUGCUCAUUUGUCCUCAUUUGACAAAUAUGACAAAUAUUAAAAAAGUGUGACAGUUAUCUUCAUACACGCCUCAUUCAAUAAAAGUUAGUAUUAUAUUUUUCACGUUCUAAAAAAGCAAAUUUUGAAAAAUAUGAGUGUCUAAAAAGUAGCUUCUAAAAAAAGACAAGAGUUUUUAUAAAGUUUGUGUAAAAUACAUAAUAAACAAUCGAUUUUGUGAAUUUCUUAAUAUAUUCUGGUAUACUUUGUGAAAAUAUAAUAAUAUUUUUACAUUUUGGAGAUUUAUUUCUUGAUAAACUCCGACUUAAUAUAUUUUUUAAUUAGGCCUUAAGUCAUUGUGAAAAAAAAUUAUCAAGAUACAUCUCCGUGUACGUUAUUGAGAUGCAUCUUUGGACGUUGUUUAUUCAAAGUCGUGCGAUAAUCUUUUCUCCUUCUUCACUUUUAAAAAAACAACUCUAAACCACUAAAGUUUCUCAAACUCUCAAAAAUAUUCAACCAACUUAAAACUUCUUCCAUCAAAGAGUCAAUUUAACACUUAAGUAAACUCACAAUUUGUAAGUUUUUUGUUUUUGUUUUUGUUUUUUUUUGAGUUUUUGUAUAAAUUUAUAGAAAAUUGAUGAUUAAGUUAUGAAAUAGAUAGUUUAUACAUGUUUGAUAGUUUAUAUAUAAUGAGAAACGUGUUUGAUAGGUGGUGUUAUUGAUCAAUGUUAUUUUUGUUGUUUUGGAGGACUGCAUUUCGGCCAUUGACGGUGAUGAAAGUUACAGAAAAUUCUAAAGAUACAUCUCCAGAAUUUUUCAAUGUUUUGAUUUCAAGAAAUCAGAGAUGCAUCUUCAGAGUUUUUCAGUGCAUUUUUUUGAUAACUUUUGCUUGUACUCAAUAUGUAAUGCUUGUGUGGUUUACUUACGGGCAUUAUGACUGAUAGGCAAAACCGAUUGAGGCGCGCCAGGAUUGGAUAACAUGCAUCUGUUCGAAAGGAAAAGAGUCAACCAUCGUAGGCUCCUGUUACCUCUAGUCCGGUUGACGCGGAGGCGUCAGCUUCUAGGGUUCAUGUAUCUUCGCCUUCUUCUUUCUGUAGGAGACAGGUGUCACCUACUCAUGCAUCCCUGCCUUCAUCUUCCUGUAUGCAAUAAAUUUCACCUAUUCAAGCAUCCGAGACAAUAGAAGUACCUGAAUCAUCGGAGGUAUUUCAGACGCUAGAGGUACCUGAGGCACCCCAGGCACAUGAGGCAGCAGAGAUACCCGAGGCACCCCAGGCACAAGAGGCAACAAAUGUAAUUGAGGCACCCCAUGUCCAGGAGGCAUCAGAGGCACCUUAGGCAACAUAGGGGUUUGGAGGAGUCUUGUCAUACUUGUCAUUGUUGUCUCUUUAUCCAUACCAUAUUGUCAGACAUGUCUGGGAUUGGGAAGUAAAAUUUAGUUGGAUUCAUACAUUUUAAAUUAUGUUUGUUAUAAUAUUAAAAGCUUUUUACGAUGAUUUAUUUUUCUGAAUGACCGUGAUUUGCUAAAAUUCAUCAACCAUGGGCGGAACAUUACUAGCCUGCAGCAGCCUAAUGAGCAGUGGUUUCAGAAUGUUUUGCAACUAUCUAGGAUGAGAGACUUGUGCAAGACCAGUUAUGUUACGACUAACCAUGGUAUGCUUAAUGCGUUUGUAGAGAGAUGACACACGUAGACAUCAUCAUUUUAUCUACCACAUGGUGAGAUGUCUAUCACACUUGACGAUGUCUUGUGUCUUCUGCAUCUUUCGAUUAUGAGAAAACUUUUAGAUCAUGGAAAGAUUAAUAGAGAUGAUGAACUGGAGUUGAUGGUAGACUAUAUGGGAGUUAACCUAGAGGCUACCAUGAAGGAGUUUGAAACCACCGCAAGGACUCAUGAUAGGUUUUGAUUCUUAGAGAAGGUGUAUACAUAUGAGCUACUUGGACCACAACAAGCAGUUGGUGAUGACAAGCAAAUUGCGCAGCAUAAAGCAUAUGCUAUGAGAGCAUACCUGUUGUAUUUUGUUGGCACUGCCAUUUUUGUGGACAAGAGUACCAUUUAUGUGAAUGUCAUUUACAUGUGAUACUUCGAUGACUUUGAGCAGAUCCAUGAGUGCAACUGGGGGGGCACUUGUUUGGUCUACUUAUACUCUAAGUUAUUUGAAUGAUGUAUUUGGAAAACGAAAUAGGUGAUAGGAAACAUCACACUAUUGAUGGCAAUAUUUCUUAGUCUUUUAGUGUGUCAUUUUCAUAAGACUUUUGCAAUGCUAUGACUAAUGAUUCACGUGUUCCAACACUUUUCAGGCUUGGAUCUUCCAACACUUCUAAAGCAUAUUUGACUGGUCAUGUCUACUGACCUAUGUUGAGGAAACUAGACGACAUAGUUGUUCAGAGUGUAUCUUGACCACUUGGUUGUAGAGGAUAUACACUUCCAUACAUACGUUGAUCACCAUGAGACGCGUCCCUUUGACGACAUAGUCAUAUUCUCGGGAUGGCUGGCUUGCGGUUCACGUCUGACGUUUCCUCAUCUGCCUGAGCGCGCCAUGCGGCAGUUUGGCUACAUGAAAUACAUUCCUAAAUAUCAUUUUGUGUAUGCUUCUCCCACUAUGACACGUAGAGAUAUGGAUGCCACGUUUGAUUAUCAUCUUAAUCAUCUGAUAUCGGAGAAGUCACGAAGUACAAUAGCUAAGAGCGACUAGAGCUACGUAGACGGUUACAUCUGGUGAUUCUUUAGGGUGUCACAUCCUUAUAUGAUACAUGAUGCUCUAGGAGAUCCAUGUUAUGGCAGAUCAUGUUGUUGAUGUGUUGCCUAGAUAUCGUUGUAUCAUAGAGAUUUGGUUGGCAGGUAUAGACAAAGGACUCUUUCUGGAUGGCUCUGAGGCUAGGAACGUUGUGGAUGCCAUGAUGGCAGAGGCACUACAGUAGUUUGAGCAUCUUAUAUGAUACAGGAUGCUCUAGGAGAUCCAUCGAGGGCAACUCAUCAGAAGAUUAUAUAGGAGAAGCAUGUUAUGGCAGAUCAUGUUGUUGAUGUGUUGCCUAGAUAUCGUCGUAUCAUAGAGAUUUGGCUGGCAGGUAUAGACAACUGACUCUUUCUGGAUGGCUAUGAGGCCAGGAAUGUUGUAGAUGUCAUGAUGGUAGAGGCACUGCAGUAGAUGAGGCAAAGUAGGAACAGGGGGUCCCGAGUUUGAGUUUGUCAUAUUCAAUAGUUUAUAGUAUUUUUACUUUGGAUUCAUUUUCGGUUGUAUUUUAUUUUGACUUAUUUCGACUUCAUUGUGUACUCUAGAUUUAUUAUUUUAUGUCAUUUUUUGCAUAUCAGUUGUAUGGUCUAAUUCAUCAUAGUAUAUUUUUACUAUAUCGUCUAUUUCACCUGACCAUCACUAAAACAAACUUGAAAUUUCGUUUCUAGUCUAGUUACGAAGAUGCAUCUCCGGAUUCUUUCUAGUGAGAAUACGAAGAUGCAUUCCUAGAAUAAUCUAUGGAAAAAAAUGACAUUUCAGUGAGGGAUAUAUGGAGUGUAUAUUGAAUUAUUUCGAAGAUGCAUCACCGAAUUCAAUUUUAAAAAAUAUAUUUGAUGUGGAAACAAUUUUAGAUAUUCACGAAGUGUUUUUCUAUCACUUAGGUAGAUUAGGGAUGUUCAAAUUAAUCGAUUAUAAAAAUUAUCCAUAUCCGAAUCCAAUUAUUAAAAAAUAGUUAAUUAUUAAUAUGGUUUAAACUAAAUCCAUAAUUUGAAUAUGUUAUUAAUAUAAUUUUAACUAAAUCCAUAUUUUGAAAUCCAUAUCCAAAAUAAAAACUAAAUUAAUCUAUUUUUUUUAAAUCACAAAAAAAAUAUCUUAACUUUUUAAAAUCCCUCCAUCCCUCCCCCUUGCGUCCAAGUGGUCAAUAUCAAUGAAAUUGAUUGUAAUCGUAAUUAAAAAAAAAACAAGUAAAUGGUAUUACCUGUCUAUAUUGUAUGAAAGGAUUUUUAAUUCAAUUAAAACAAAAAUUAUGAGUUUCAUUAUUUUGUGAUUUGCAUAAAAUGAAAUUGCCAUGAAUCAAAUGCAGCUAUUGUUUAGGACACUGAAAAUGAGAUCUCUUGCUGGUGACUAGUGAAAUAAACAAAUAGUGUACUUUAAGGUAGGCUUAGAUUACUUUAGGGUAUAAUAUAAAUAAAUAUGUUGUCAUACAUUUUAUUCGUCACAAGUAAAUAGAGAACAUCUGAUUAUACUAUUUUAUAUGUUAUUAACAUAUAGUGCCAAAAAGUAUCAUUUACGAAUAGGAAUUUCUCGAUGAAUUAAUGACAAGCCUUAUCAUACUAAACUGUUAAAUUAUAAUAUAUAUUAUUUUCGUUGAGGUUGUUAAUUAGUUUAUUUUGAUUAAAUGUGUUAAGAAAAACUAUCUUAAAUCGAUGUUCGGUGUUUUUAUGAUAUAUAUUCUUUAAGAAUUUGAAAAAAAAAUGUGUGAAAUCCAUUUUUAAAAUUUUAAUUUUAAUGUCCGGAUGAAAACCAAUUAUAAAAAAUUAAUAUCUAGUUUUAAAAACUGGAUUUUUAUGUUUAAAAUCGGAUAUAAAUUUUUAAAUCGAUUAGAAAAUUCAUAAUCAAUUAUAAAAUAUGAUUAUGGAUAUAACCGAUUUUAUAAAAAUAAAAUCAUUUAUAUUGAUCAGUUAUAGUAUCCGAUCAUAAUAUAUUAUCAUGUUUUCAUUUUUCUUUCUUUUCUGUAUCUAGAGAUAUUCUGUUUUCGAGCAUCAGAAUCUGAAACAAACAAUAUAUUUAUUUAUCAAGUGCAUUACAAUGUAUUUAUAUAUCAACGGUUGAAUUUUGUUCAUUAAGUUCAAUUUAGAUUUAGAUUUUUCCAAAAACAUAUCAACAAUAUUCACAGAUACUAAAUGCAAACACGUAGAUAUUGUUGGUUCAACUUCAAACACAUAUUUUUAGUUUUUUUAUCAUGGAAGUUGUACUUAAAGUGAUUAAUUUCAAUGUUUUUAAUAUGAUAAUUGUUAAAAAAAAAUGAAAUUAUGGAAUUCAUAGUUUACCAAAAUAACUUAACCAAAAUGCCAUUCAAAUUGAACGAGUCUUCAACCUCAAAUUUUAGUAGUCUUUUAGUUUGAGAUUGGUUUUACGUUUAAAGUAUUAAGUUCUAAAUGUGUAGAAUUGAUUGACAUAUUUAGUUACUCCCUUUUAACCAAAAACAAUUUUACAACAUCAAUUCACUCAAAGAAAAAAUUCAACUGCAUAACCAAACAUAUGUUUAAUCUUAAUACUUUCUUUCAACAAUGUAAAAAAUAGCGUCGGCUUGAAUUAUUAAGAAGAAUAUAAGAUCAUUACACAACCAUUCAGAAUGUGUAGUGGCCUUGUAGGUUGCCUCAGUUUUCAUUCAAUUUCAACUGGUUGACACUUAAAUUAUCAUGCCAUCUAUAUUGAAGCUCAUCGACUAACACCAACCCACUUACUUCUGUGACAUAGCAAUCUUCAUGAUCAGGAUCAAGAUCGCAACGCAUCAUAGAAAAAACUCAUCUUCCAAUCCAUCAGAAGUCAAUUAUCCAAUCACAGGAUUCAAUGUAAACUAUAUCAGUAGUGAGGGAAAGAUAAUGAUAGUAUUUUCAUUUACAAUGAAUAUCAAACCUAGGAAGCCUGUGAUAAGCUGGCUCUAGCCGCGCGCCUUUCUAGUGCCUUCAACCUAUUUGCUUCCAUUCGGGCUCUCUGCUCUUCUGUUAUCUCAGCAUUGCUGGACAGACUGGCUCCAUUAUUUGGGACUUCAUUUGAUUUCUUUUCUAUUGCCUUCAACCUAUUUGCUUCCAUUCGGGCUCGUUGCUCUGCUGUUAUCUCAGCAUUGCUGGACAGACUGCCUCCGUUAUUCGGGGCUUCAUUUGAUGUCUUUUCAAUUGCACUACUUUUGGGAUCUGUACUCGUACCAAUCACAUUUUGCAUGGGCUGAGAAGGUUCCUGCAGUAAAAGAGAAAAUACCUCUGUUACAAACUCUGGCAUCAGCUCUUUGUUUCCGAUUUGGUUUAACUCAAAAGUUAUGUAUACCUAACUAUCAGCAACUAUUGAUUCGGACUUCAUAAGAAAGGAAUAAUUACAACAAAAAAACUGGAGACUUAAGGGACGGAAAAAUAAAUUAAUGUAACUAGAUGUUCAAGUAAUCUCCAAUGAAAGAAUACAACAGUCUGAAGAGAGUAAUGUUACCCUUGCAUUAUUAAUACCACACUUUUCAAUAAGGAUAAAAACUAAAUCUGAUUUAAACAGUUCCCAAACAAUUCAGAUUAGUCAAAAAUUUGUGAGAAUGGUAUCCUAGAAGACAACUUACCUAUUUUCUAUCCAACUGAUAUGCAUAAUUAUUAAAAGAGUUCCUUUCACUAAGGGAAACAUCCAGAUGUGUUUCAAUAAACAAAUAGAUAUUCUUAUGUGAUAACAAAAGUGAAGAACUAUAUAUGUUUAAAAGAAAAUAAACUCACUACAGUAGCUUGGUCAUAUAUAUCAUUGAGCAUGUCUUCUUGAAUGUCAAUAACAUUUUCAGGUUCAUCAAACAUCUCAUUAUCUUGAUGAGUUACUUCCCCAUUUUCUGCAGAUACAGCAAAGCCCAAUUAUGCAGAUUUAACAAAGAUACCUAAAGACGUCAAUAAAAUAAAUAAAACCUAAUUAUUUCUUCAAGUAGACUAUAUUGAAACUGCUGGCCACUCUGUUUGAAGUAUGAAUCAUGUGGAAAUUUGCCAAAAUCUAUGUCUGUUUUCAUUAUAACUACCUAUAAUUGGCAAGUGAGCUUCAAUGAAUAAAUUGUCAAUUGUUGGAUCCUAUCUCUCAAGCAAUUUAACGUUUAAAAAAUGCUUGUACACUUGAAAAGGGAAAAUUAAGAGGAAAGUGUUCUUAGUAAGUAUGUUUUUUAACAGCUACAUAACAACUGGUUGAUUCAAUGAAUGGUACUCGUUAACAACAUUAACUUGUUUAGUUGAAAAAUAUUUCUAACAGAAUGUGAAAAUAAUAUACCACAUUUGAACUUCACAAUUGUUCUAUAAGAUUAUAACCACAGAUCUAAGAAACCAACUAUGAAUACAUAUAUAGUAAAUACCUUGCUCAGCAACUGGGAUGUUUUGCACACCUGGUGGUUCGUGCAAUUUUGAUGGAUCCCCACCAUUUGCAACUCUUUCUCUCAAUUCUCUAAGGCUCGUCUGGUAAGAGGACGUAAAAUAAAUGUCAAAUACAGGGUUUAACAAGGACAUAAAAUAAAUGUCAACUACAGGGUUUAACAAGGACAUAAAAUAAAUGUCAAAUACAGGGUUUAACAAGGACAUGCAGCAAGACAAACCCUCUCAACAAAUAUAAAAUCAUAUGGUGAGAUACAUAAAGUAAGUGAAUGCCCGGAGAGAUGGAGAUACAGAAUAAGGGCAAAGCAUAUCAAUAUGUGUGUGUAUAAACCAUAUAAAAAAGCAAAGGAAAUGGAUCGUUUAUAUACUUGUAUUGUAUAUGUACCAAUUGAAUGAAAAACAAGUAUUAGCCAAAGAUGUUAGAUGGAAAAUAGUUCUUGAAUGUGGAUACAAUGGUGGCUCCUUAGAGUUGAUCCCUGAGCAUAAGAAUAGUUGCCCCUGUAGCACACCGACACCUCCGAAAAAAUGUGUGUUUGUGUGAGUGUACGUGUCUGAAACUAACACUUGUGAUUAGGUUUAAUUUAUUCAUUUUUAUAUCAUUACUAGUGUCGACGUGUCAGUGUUAGUGCCGUGUUUCCAGUGUUAGUGCCGUGUUUCCAGUGUCGGUGUCGUGUUUCCAGUGUCGGUGUCGUGUUUCCAGUGUCGGUGUCGUGUUUCCAGUGUCGGUGUCGUGUUUCCAAUGUCGGUGUCGUGUUUCCAAUGUCGGUGUCGUGUUUCCAAUGUCGGUGUCGUGUUUCCAAUGUCGGUGUCGUGUUUCCAAUGUCGGUGUCGUGUUUCCAAUGUCGGUGUCGUGUUUCCAAUGUCGGUGUCGUGUUUCCAAUGUCGGUGUCGUGUUUCCAAUGUCGGUGUCGUGUUUCCGGUGCCUGUGUUUCAUAGAUAGUUGAAUCACAAAUCCUAGUCUUUAGUUUAAGCUCUAUUAUUGGGGAGGAAUUUUCACACACACCCAACAUCACUUCAGAUGUACACAUCUCAGGUCUAUCCCAAUCAUUUGAGCAAUAGUACAUUUAACAUAGAGCCCAUUCUUAUCAAAACAGUAUGAAUAAUGACCCAAAUAAAAUCACCAAGGAACUAAAAGAAUCAUUAUGAAGCACACUCAUAGUUUAGUAAUAAUCAGAUAUCAUUUCAGUUCCAUAAAAAUCCCUUCAAAAGUGACAUAAAGGAAACCUUACCAACAUGAAUAGAGUUGCAUUGAACAGAAACAGUACCUUAACACGCCUUGUAGCAGCAACUUGCUCAACUUUGUGAACAAAUUGAUUGAAGGGAUAAUACGGGAGCAAACGAGAGUGCCAUUCAGAGUACAAUUCAAUCAGGUUCCCCAAAUCACGAACCUAACAACAAAAACGUGUAAUCAAAGCUUAAUAGAGAAAUCGCUAGUAAACAAUAAAUUAAAAAAUGAUGGGAUUAUUAAUGACCUCGUGGCCGCGACCGUGGUAUUUGAAGGAGCGAGGGAAAUAGCGAAGAACGUAACCGAGGCCGUCGUCGGAGAGAAGAAGUUCGGGGGUGAGUUUGGGGCGGGUACGGGGGAGUUUUUUGGGCUUCUCGAUGGCGGAUCUAGGGCCGGAAGGGUUGAAGGAAGAGGAAGGAGGAAGAUCGGCGGCGUUGGAGUUAGGAUUAGGGUUAGGGUUUGGAUUUGAAUCGGGAGCGGAGAAAGGGCAGUCGCGUGACCAGUGACCUGGUUUGCCACACUUGUAACACCCUGUUGCAGUUCCUGCCAUUUCUCUCUGGUAUCGUCUUAGUCUGUGACUUCAAAUUGGGAUUUUUUAAGAUUAAGGCUUUGCUCCUCUUAGUUGCGCGGGAAAUGGCGGGAAACGCAUCAGCUUUUUAUAAAGGAAAAAAAAAAACUUAAUAAAUUUUUUGAUAUACAUUUGUGUAUAAUAAUAACAAUUUAAUAUCUCUCUGUCUCUCCCUCUCUAUGUGUGUUGUAUAAAUGUCAAUUUCACCAUUAACAUUAGAAUUGAGCAAGAAAAUAUAAAUUAAUUGUAUACCUGGUUAAUAAGAUGAUAAAUAUAAAAAUUGAAGUUAAGAAGAAAAAACUAAUCUUAAGCUUCAAUUUUUUAGUACUAACGUGACUUUGGUCCUUCACUACACCCUUUGAUCCUUUAAUUUAUGUUUUUGCUGCUUCGAUGGACAACUGAGUGCGAAUGAUAAGUAGAAGGGUGAUACUUCUUGAAGAAUCGCUCGAAAGCAUCGUUACAUGUAUAUUUAAAAGGAACAAGAAUACCUUGUACUAAUACAGUAAACUAAUGAGGCUCCGACUUAGAGGAAUAAAAGCAAGCAAUUCUUUUUUAUGGAAUGUAGUCAUACUCUUGCAUAUGAUAACAUCCACUAAACAAUUUUGGUUCCACCGCGAAAUAACGACUUCGUCUAUGAGAGCCAGAAUUUGAUCCUCGUGUAUUUCCAUGUUUAGAUCUCCUCUAAUCCAGAGAUAUAUAUCUCAUCUCUUAAAAGUUCAAAUCUCUAUUUCUUUACCUUUUUCCUCAAAUCUCAACUUUAUUUCCAACAAAUCCUUCUUUAUAUUUAUCAAAUAUGGUGGCAUCCAAAGCCAUUUGUUUCACUGUUCAACGAUAAGUCAUUCCCGUUGUUGUUGAAGUUGAUAAAGAUUAACAUCUUAUUCCUCAAAAAGAAGACGAUUCAGUCUUGAUAGGAUCUUCAUCCAAUCCUUCACAGCAAGAUCAUGUUCAACCAAUAGUCAGCCAAAGAGUAUUCUAAACUCUUUCGUUCUUUGGUUCCAGACAACAAUUACGUCAAGGUGGACCUUCACAUAGACCUUUGUCGCUAUCUGUAAUUCAUAGACAAGAAAUGUUUCCCAGCAUUCAAGUGAUACAGGAUAACCUCAUGGGUGCAAGGAACUACUUGUUAUGGGUUGGCCAAAGACCUCAUACAAGGGAUAUCAAGCCCAAUCGUAAAGCCCAUGUAGAAUUAUCUUCCGGCAAGUAUAAAAAGUAGCCUCAUAAAAUAUUUCCAUCUUUUUCGCCUUAGGAAUGUUUUUGAGACAUGUCAAAUCUUAAUCAGAGAUUAAUACAAGUGCUUCUUGAGAAGUACAUAGAAUUUGGGAAGGUAGAAUGGCAAGAAGCUUAAGUAGAGGUGUAGAUGACUCGGCAGAAGCACCCCAAUAUAGUCUGACCCAUUUGACCAAAUAUCCCUCUAGAUGAGGACUUUGAUCCUGAUCAUGGUCCCUCUUGUUAUUGGUAAGAGGAUACGAAGUAUGGUCUUUAACACCUACAACAACAACCCCCACAUAAGCUUAGUCUUAACCAUAUGAGACCGAAAGGAUUUCACUAGCAGUAGAUACGCCAAGACCCAUUGGAGGAGGAUUGAAGGAUCUGAGUUGAAGAAAUGGUGAGGAUAGCUUUAGUCUUUCGUUUUUUAGCAAUAUCAAAAACCUUCUUCAAGGAAUUUAUUAUAUCUCUAAAUACCAAAACACCCCAUGUUUAAAAAGAAGGGCCAACAAUCGCUUAAUCUCUUCUUUAUGUACUAUUUACCAUUCCCAAAAUAGCAAGUGUGUCCAUCAAUCGCUUCCUUUUACAAUGAGGGCUUCCCCUCAUAAGGCCCAAACCCCCGCUUCGUAGUCGAGACCUUCGUAGAAAGCAUCAAUAUUUUCCUUCAUCUUAAUCUCUUCUGAAGUAAAGGAUUUCAAGGGAACAUUAUACUUGUGAGGCUUAUGUUUAAAGUGAACUUGUGCCCAAUUCCUUUGAAACCUAUCUACACAACAUUAUUUGGAACAUGGAAGAAGGUGGAGUGAGCUCCCAAGGUACGAGGUUUUACCAACAUGAAAUGAUCCUGAAAAUCGUCCAAAUUCCACAUAAGUGCUAAACUGAGGAACGAUUUGGCGCAAUGAGAUGAACCAUCUACCCAAGGAUGUUAUUUUGUGAAGUAUAAACCACAUCCAAAUGAUGGAAAAAUAGUAGGUAUGAAGGCCUCUAAAGUCGGUAAUCAUCCUAAAGUUGAAACACCCUUAUCAAAGCCCAAGCGCUGAGAUGAAGCUGUGAGGGGACAAUCUUAAAUAACUUUAAAACCUCCACUUAAAACUUGGAUAAAAUUGACGACAAAUUUAUCCGAGUAAACAAGAACUCGUAGUAAGGAAUAAAUCAUUCCCCGAAGUUGCUACAUAUCAUUUUACCUUAUUCCACUAGGAGAAAUGACCAAUCAGAGGAACAAUUUGCUUCUAUAUUAGCCUCACUCACGGUUGUAAGACUAUCUAAAACAUACGAGGUUCCUAAUAUUUUGAAAUCCUCCUAGUUAUACUUGCUUGCAUCGAUUAGCUCCACAAGAUCGAUACUUCUUCGAGGUAUCUCAUCAACCCAAAAGAUAUAUGAUGGCUUAAGCCAAUCAACACUUGUAGACUGGGUCAUACGUGCAAGAUGAUCCUUAAUCCCAACAUCACUUGGAUCGAUACCAAAGAUGGAAUAACUUCUACCUCCGGUGAAGUCAAAUUAGUAAAGUUGAACCCUCGAUGGUUGCGGAAGGAGCAGACACAUAACUGAUAGUGUGAUCACCUCUAACAUUCUCACCAUAAAGGAGAACGUCAAAGGAAUAUACAUCAAAAGAAAUUUCUCUAUUAAGAGAAACAUUAGAGAACCUCGCAGACUCAGAACUAUCAAACAUAUUUAUAAUGAUUGAGGUGAAUCGUAGAUUAAUAAAACUGGUGUCUGCAAGCUCGAUUUUGAAAUUUUCCACCCACUGAUUUGACACACAUUUGAAAGUUGAUUUGACCGGUCUAUUUGUAGAUCCGAAAAUUUAUUUCGAUUGACAUUCUAGGCAGUAUGUGGCAUGGAAUGCAUACUAUGAUAUACAAAGAUGCAAAAGCUGCGAUGUAUGUAUAAAUUCGGAGAUUCGGGGUCAAAAUUGGGGUGUGACUGUUGUCCAUAUUUAAAUAUCUUUGACCAGAGAAUAUGAAGAAGUACAAUUUUCAUAUGAUUGAGGAGGGAGAUAGUAAAUACUAAGAAGACCCAAAUUUUGAUCCUAAAUGUAUAUGACAUGACGCGAUAUGAUAUGCAUAUAUGCGGGACAUUUCAUUUUGAUUUUCUAGGGUUAUGGUAUGAUACGAGACGAACCCUAACAAGAUGCUUUUGUGAUGGACAAAGAAAGACAAACAAAUAUGUGGGGAAUGAUGGAAACAAGGUAAUGAUGGCCCACAGGAAACAAAAAUUAGGGUAGAAACUCGGUGGGGAUAACAAUCAUGUUGGAGAAACGACACUAGGGAGUAUUCAAAGUGAAAAAUGACAAAUGACACCUUAGAAUACACGAGAAUUAAAAAAAAUCGAGAUUUUUGACAAGAAAUACGUCCUAUCCACGAUGAUCUGGAGCUUUCUAACAAGAAAAGAAUCCAAUCAAGAAAAAUGGUGAUCUCUAACAAGUAAAUACAUCUAAAGCAAACCUGGGAGCUUUCUUACAAGAAAGUCAACCACACAAAGAAACUUGAAGGUUCUUUACAAAGAAAUAGUCCAAGACAAAACUCGGGAAUUUUCUAAUAAGAAAAACGUCCAUUCAAAGACUUUGGGGAUUCGUAACACUGAAAUCAAUUGUCACAAUGUUCUAUAGUUUUCUUACAAGGAAAAUGUCCAAACAACAAAAGAAAACCCUAACAGGAAAUUCAAAUCAAGACAAAACUCUGGAGUUUCCAACAAGAAAGUCAUCCACACAAAAAGAAACAUGGAGAUUUUUUACAAAAAGAUCGUCCAAGGUUAAAAUCGGGAGUUUUCUGACAAGAAAACGUCCAUGCAAAAGGCUACGAGGAUUCUUUACAAAGAAAUCAAUCUAGACAAAAUGUCAAAGUCUUAUAACAAGAAUGACAUCCAAACUUCUGGGAAUCCCUUAGAAUGACGAGCCAUACAUGAAUUUCUAGGAAACAUCUGGACAAAUAAGGUAUAAAACUAUCUGAAGGUGCCAACAACAAUUUGACUUAGACCGUAAGCAUUGGUUACAACCAGUUUCUGACGGAUCGAUGCUAGUUAUCACUGGACUUUUCAAAAUGGGUCUAGUAACGACUGGGCUUUAAAGAUGUCAAUGACCAUUGGAAUUUUCAAACGAUGCUAGUGAAAACCAGACUUAAGGUACCAAUUACAAUUGGAUUUUCAAAUAGAGUGUCAGUUACAACUGGACUUUAAGAACGAUGUCAAUAAUAACUGGACUUGUAAACAGUGCCAUUAAUGAUUGAACUUUAUAUGGUAUCAAUAACAAUUGGAUUUUAAACGGUGCUAAUGAGAACUGGACUUAAGGUACCAAUUACAAUUGUAUUUCAAAAUAGAGUGUUGAUUGCACCUAGACUUAACAGGUGCCAAUUAUAAUUGGAUUUUAAAUCAAUGUGCUAGUUACAACCAGACUUAAAAGGUACCAGUGACAACUAAAUUUUGAGGACACCAAUGAUAAUUGGAUGUUUGAGAAUGAAGUUCAAUGGCAAUUAGACUCUAUAGGGGAUGUUAGUAACAACUGGAUUUUUAAAAAAGAUAUUGGUGAUAACCAGACUUUAAAAAGAUACCAGUGACAAUUGGAUUUGGAAGACAUGCAUUGGUAACAACCAAACUUUGUAAGUGAUGUCAUUGACGAUUGGACUUAGGGUGCUAAUAACAAUUGAAAUUUAAGACAAUAUGCCAAUAACAAUUGAACUUCGAGAGUAAAGAUGAUAACAACCAAGCUUGGAAAAUGGUGCCAGUGACAAUUGGACUUUGGAUGUCAAUGACAAUUGGAAUUUGAAAUUAGAGUACAAGUUACAACUGGAAUUUAACAUAUGAAUGAUGGUAACAACCAAACUUUGGUUACCAAUAACAAUUGGUGCUUGACAAAAGGUGUCAGUGACAACUAGACUUUAAACUGUGCCAAUAAUAAUUGGACUUUGAAUACCAAUAACAAUUGGAUUAUAAACAAAGGGUGCCAAUAACAAUUGGACUCUAUGGUGAUACUCAUAAUAACUAGGUUUUGAAGAUAAUUCCAGUGACAACUGGACUUUAAGGGACACCAAUAACAAUUGGGCUUUGAAACGAUACCAGUGACAAGCUAGGACUCAAGGAUACCAAUAACAAUUGGACUUGAAAACAGAUACUAGUAACAACUAGCCUUUGAACAAGAUGCCAGUGACAACUGGACUUUGGGGAGUACCAAUAACAAUUGGGUUUUAAGAAAAACCAGUGACAAAUGGACUUUGGAUAUACCAAUAACAAUUGGAUUUUUUAAAACAGUGACAGUCACAAUAGAUUUACAAGAAUGUUUUCCGCUUACGGCAAAUUCUUGUCGGGCGUUAACUCCAUCAAAAGAAUUUAUUUUGAGCGAGGUUUUCAUAUCGAUCCUUACAAGGUAUUUACCUCGGUAUUUCAUACUACGUAACCAUCAUUCCUAGUUGGCCAUAGAUUCAAUGUUCUAAAAGGGCCUUAGAGUCAUGGACCCUCUUGAAACAUUGAAGCUUACGAGGUAUUCACCUUGGGCGACAACAUUUUCAAAAGGAUCUACUCUAAGUGAGGUUCUUAUAUCGACCCUUACAGGGUAUUCACCCUGGGAGUUCGUAUUACUCAACCAUCGUCUUAUCUUAUGUUUUCACUCUAGACUCGGGCAAAGAGUCUUUCUCACAAGGUUCGCAGUCAGAGUAACGAUCCAAAACUACAACAUAAUGGAACCAAUACAACAAAUUUUAUCAAUAUAAUAAUAGAGAUAAUAAAAGCAAGAAAGAAAAUCCACACAAGUAAAGUAAACAAAGGCACACAAAUGAUCUAACUAGGCUUGACUCACUUAGGGAAACCUCCCUAGCAGAGUCUUCAUCUGUCGCAUCUCAAAAAAUGAAAACACGACUUUACAAAGCACAAUCGCACAAUCACAUGAUGGACUAAACAGAUUCUCCAAUGAACUUUAUUUACUCCUAAAAAGGAUAUGGGAAAUAUCGAUGAAACCUAAGAAAGAACGACAAUGAUAUUGGUCGUCGCAACUAAAUCAGGGUUCGGGAGUCGACUACGUAAGGAGAAGAUAUUAACAUCCCUCAUGUUUGUUGUAUUCAACGAGAAUCGUUAGGUUAGUUGUGCAUGUUAGUGUUAGCUUGGAAAUGUUAGUGCAUGGUCCAUUUUAACACUUUUUUUUUUAUUGAUUUUAUUUUUAUGACUUAAAAUUAUUGUUAGCAUUUGAUCUUUAGGAUGAAGGUUGACCAUUGUCUCAUGGUCAACCUGACCUUUUCUUGGAAUUUUAUUUCAUAUUUUCAAUUUAUUUUGGAUUUAUUUUUGACCUAGUUUGGUUGGUUGACUUUUAAUUUGACUUCUGUUUUACUUUAAUUAAUUCACAUACCAAUUUUCAUUAUUUUUAAAAUCUUUUUGGGGGAUGAUGAUUUCCUGACCCCACCUUAUUUAUUUUAAUUUUUCAUAAUUUUCUUGAUUAAUUUACUAUUUAUUCUUGAUUUAUUUUUAACUUAGUCUUAUUAAUUGACUUUUGGUUUGACCUAUGUUUUGUUUUAAUUAAUUCACGUGCCAAUUUUCAUUAUUUUUAAAAUCUUUUUGGGGGAUGAUGAUGUCCUGACCCCACCUUAUUUAGUUUAAUUUUUCAUGAUUUUCUUGAUUAAUUUGCUAUUUAUUGUGUUAUUUUUUAAGUUGACUUGAAUUUUCAGUUGACUUUUUAUGCAUCGUGUUGACUUAGGGAUUGCUUAUGGCAAUUGAAGAGAUCUUUUGAUCCUCCCUUGUUCAUCUCAUAUGCCAUGUAUUAGAGCCUCUUACCUUGAUUUUAUUUGGUCCUUACCUCAUUCCUGAUUAAAUUAUUCAGUGGACCCUUCGUGUGGCAUAUUUUCAUCUGUUUAUUAUAUCUAUUACUUUAUACUUGUUUCUCUCAUUCAUGCUUUCUAUUGCUUGAUAUUUAACAUGUUCAUACUCCCAUGCAUUGUUAAAUGCUCCAUACUUGAUUUUUGGUUUGAUAUAUAUUGUUUAUUUAUCUGAUCUGAUUGAUAAUUGUUCCUACUGUAUGAUGUAUGAGGCAUUAUUCUAUUUUUGUUGCCAUGACAAUCCCCAUUCAUAAACAAAUGUACCCCUCUCCCCUAAAGUAUAAUAUUAUUUCUUUAUUCUUUAGUCACCUGUUAAUACAAAGAAUUAAACUAACAUCGAUAACCAUUUCAAAAAGAUCAAAAGCUCGAUCCAACGUCGAGUAAUCAUUUUCAAAAACUUAACAGACCAACACACUCCAUCAUCCUCUUGUAAGUCGAUUGCCUCAGCAUCCCAUCUACCUGUAAGUCGAUUGCCUCCGGCAUCGCCAUCUACCCUUAUCCGUAACUCCUCUUCGCGCCAUCUGUCGACUCUUGUUCUGUUUAGGUAGCACCCAUUAGGUAGAACCCUUGUAUGAUAACAUAGGUAGAAUUCCCUUAUUUCUGUGCAUGCUAACAUUAGGUAGAUGUUCCCCUUUGUAAAUCCUAACACAUAGGUCCAUAUUGCAUGACAACUCUAGAGCAGAGCUUCCCCACUUUUAGACCUUCCGUGCGUCUCCGAUCUUGUGGCAUGUCAGUCCGUUCUAUUAUAAAGAGGUAAAUGCCUAAGACUCGAUUCAGCGAGCUGUGACACCUACUGCUAGGACGUUGAACACACUGCCCACCCUCCUUUGAUACAGCUGGUGUCCUCUUUUGUAAGUCCAUGUUCAUAUGGCAAUCCUUAACCCCUAGUUAGUCGAAUUACGACAACUCUGAUUCUCAUGUUCAGAUGAGAUACGUAGGUACGAGAUGCGAUGUCUUGCCGAGUUUGACUGACGACUAACAACUAAUCCUUGCUUGCUUUCUCCCUUGUUGCGAUUCUUUUCUCUCGCCCUCGUUGCGAUCGAGACCUUCCCUUUCUCUUGCCCUAGUUGCAAUCGAGACCUUUGUUCCCGUAGUUAGCUGAACUACAUUUUGCUCUGAUUCUCAUUCUAGAUGAGAUACGUAGGCAUAAAACGCGAUGUCUUAGCGAGUACACUCCUCUUAGGCCCAUAGGUAGCCGAGCUACAAAGACUCUGAUUCUCAUACUCAGAUGAGAUACGUAGGCAGUGGAUGUGACAUCCUUGCGAGUCAUUUUCUUUUAACCUUCCUUUUAGUAAAUAGUACUUUAGAUAAGGAGUACCUAGGAUGGUUUGUGGGUGCUUAAAACUGCUUCCAUUGCAUAAACCAACCCCCUUUAGCCCAGAUCUCUGACAUUUUUACUAGUUUUUGAUUCGAUAAACUUUGCUUUCUAACCAUUCCUUUGGAUAAAUAGAAGUGAGGUGGCGACUCGACUUGUAUGGUUUACCUUGGAUUUAGUCAAUAUCUCUAAUGGUAACGAAUACCCCGCUACAAUAUCCUCCCAACUGAACUAAGGUUUUACGCAGGUUGACCCAAACCAAACCAAGAUUUUUACCAAGUUGAUCUCAAACUCAAUGAGCUUUUACAUCAAGCUAAACUCGGAAACCAAUAGAGAUUUUAACUAGGUUUAUCUCGAACCGAUAUAGAUUGUAACCGGUCUGAGCUCAAUAAUCAUUGUCUAGAUUUUCACUAGCUGAUCUUCAUGAACUUAAAGAGAUAUUUUUCUCCAAGGUGAAACUCACAAACCAAAUUGAGACUUCCUAGAACAAUCAGAUAGUUGAUAGCAAUCUAAGGCCUCACUCCACACUCAAUGUUUUGAAAUGUUCCAACUAUUUAAGAGAAAAGUAACGUCAUUUAACAUGUUUGAAAUCCAUACUCACUUUUACAUCACUUUUCAAUCUCUUGUUGGCUUAUGUGUUGGAUUGAUAACCUUACAGGUCAUCCACCUCUUCGUCGCAUCAUAAGCUAAAGUAUACCGUAGCAAACACUACCUUAUCCUCCACCAAACAAUCAUGGUUCCACCGCAUAACACCUUGUAUUAAAUUAUUGCAUUUUGACACACAACCAGUUUGUUCGCCAAUAUCAUCAACCUCAUUAUCGUUCUUAAUUACAAAUAAUCUAUUUCAUAUCUCUUCUAGUUAAUUCAUAUUUUUUUUCCAUAACGCUAAUAUUGAUAUUGUUCGGAAGGAUCAUUCUAAAGUAAUUUAAAUCACUUAUGAAAUAAUGUGAAUGUUUGUUUUAUGUACAACAAUUAUAAAUAUGGUGUACCAUGAUAUUAUCAUCUUGAUCUCUAAGAAACCAGAUGAUAUUGUUUCAAAUAUUAAGGUACCAUAGGUUGUUGAAUAUGGUGUUCAUGAACCCGAUAUUGCUAAACUUUAUUCUAGGAAAUAUUUUUUAAACAAAUUUGGGAAAAUAUUUUAUCACUGAGCAAGAGUUCAUGUUGCGUGAUGAUAUACUUAAACGGGUUCGUGUUGAUAUUGUUAAGUUAGAUUUUAGUGUAGUUAUAAAGGGGUAUGAUUUAGGUUGUGAUAGAAUAAAUGGUUUUGUUAUGAUGGGUUAUGAAAGAAGUAGUUGGACCGAUCAUGCUAGACACUUUGCCAACACCACCCUAUAGUUUAACCUGCUCAUGGUAUUAUUGAAACAAUAUUUAUUAAAUAGCAACAAAUAUUUUUGAAAGGAUUGGGAAAUAAUCAACAAUAUGGUUGUACUGGACAUUAAAAAAAAUAUGAUUAUACCAUAGCAUAAUGACAUAAAUUAUUUGGAAACAUCAUCACCAUAUUAUAACAUAUGUUUAAUAACAAGACUUUGUAUGGUUAGUUGGUUGAUAAUAUUUCUCAUGAAAAAAUGAAUUUUAUUUAUUACAAAAUUGUGCGAUCAGAGAAAACUUGUUCGGGAAGCUCAAAGUAUGGUUGUACAAUUAAAGAACAUAUGAUAUCCACAUGCUUGUAUCAAUGCCAAAAAGUUUCGUCUCAACACAUUUAUAAGUAUGGAUGAGGUAAGCAGACAUUAAAAAAGGCUACCGUUUGAUAAUGAUGAUGUAAUUAAAGAUGAUAAAUUAAAUAUAUAUAUUAUGGUAAAGUGGGGGAAAUUCAAGGAAAUUUUAAGAAAUUUGAUUACUAUUUGAAGUUGUGCAACAAAAUGCAGAUGCGUCAAAUGACCUAUUUAAAAACCACUAAGAUGACACCACCUACAUAACCAGUAAAAUCAAAAGGUGCUCCAAAGAGGGAGAAAUCCACUCUUGAUGAUAGUUCACUUAAGUGGUGACCAUUAUUUUAUGCACUACGCCAAAUAAGGGAAAAGAGGGCGCUUAUUUUGGCAUAUAACAGCGCUUUUAAGCGCCCUCUAAUCUGGCGUUGGCAUAGGUAAAGACAGCGCUUUGUUUUCCUGGAGAAAGCGCUGUCUAAAGUGGCCACAUUAUAGUGCGCUUUAAGAUAAAAGCGCCCUCUGGAGUGGUCCAUAAAGGGACACCUUAGAGGGCGCUUUCUGGAGAAGCGCCCUCUAAAGUUGUCAAUGUAAAGUGUUUAGAGGGCGCUUUCAGGAAAAAGCGCCCUCUAAAGUUGUCAAUGUAAAGUGUUUAGAGGGUGCUUUCAGGAAAAAGCGCCCUCUAAAAUUGUCAAUGUAAAGUGUUUAGAGGGCGCUUUCAGGAAAAAGCGUCCUCUAAAGUUGUCAAUGUAAAGUGUUUAGAGGGCGCUUUCUGGACAAAGCGCCCUCUAAAGUGUUAGUUAUUUUAAAAAAAUUUGUUUGAAAAAUAGUGGAUAUAUAUUUAAUUGGUAACCUGUUCGAGAGUCAACACCCAGUGACCACUGUAUCCAAAAGCUGUCUAGUAGUUCUAACCAAUACUAAACAAAAACGCCCAUCCACCCAUGGUGGCAAACAUGUUCUGUAUAUCCAAAAGCUGUCUAGUAGUUCUAUCGCACAUCCAUACAAAAUAAGGCUCAACCAAAACAACAGAUGGCAGCAUAAGUAGUCCCCUGCAAAAAGAACACGUCCAAAGUCAAAUAACACAAAACUGUCAAAAGGCGAUUGAGCAACAAAUAGUAAACAAUGGCAUAAAGUUAAAUGACAUAGCUAAUAUUACCUGAAUUCCUGCAUGGCUGUUAAGGUAAAAUCAAAUUCCCUAGGGGUGACAAAUGUUGGUGUCUACCACGGUUCCUUUGACAAUUUAGAACAACAAAUCAGCCAAAAAGUGAUAAAUUCAAAUGAUAAUAUAUACCAGCUGCGUUGAGAAAUAUAUUGAAAAAACCUGGCAUAAUAUUUCCACUUCUAUCGGUCUCUUUGGGGUUGACAGGAAAGAGACGGGUGUGAUGUCUCUUUUGGACCACUACAAAAGUAACUUUAGGUAGAUACCCAUUCUCUAUUGAGACAAAAGCCUGGUGAAAAAAAAUUAAAAAUUAAACGCAGAGAAUUUAGUGGUGUAUUUAUGAACGACAAAGUAACAAGAAAUCAACUUUGAAGAAGUCCUAAAUUCUGCCUACAAUACAGUGCUGCAAAGUCAGAUGACAAAUGUAAAAACAAUUAAAAUCAUAAAAGUCAUUUUACCUGUAAUAGAAAACAAUUAAAAUCAUUUGACCUGUACCUUUUCACUAAGUUCUCUUUCUUUUCUUGGUUGGAAUAUGUUCUACAUGUCUCUUAACAACACGGACGGUUGGAUUGAUCCAAAUACCCUCAUUAUGAUCAUUCUAAUAUAUGAAUCAUUUGAUAUAAUAUUCUCAUCUUGAUCAUUUCUGGUAAACGAUUCAAUCUCAACAUCAAUAUCACCUUGAUCUCCAGUGUUUUCAUCAAUUACUUUGUUGGAAAAAAGAACUAUAGACCAUUUCGUACUUUUCGGAUCAUUGACAUAGAACACUUGUCUAGCUUGAGAGGCUAGAAUAAAAGACUCAUCUUUGUAUCCCACCCUAUUAAGAUCCACUUGCAAAAAUCCUGACUUAUCCAUUCGAAUGCCGUUAUUAUUUUCAACCACUUGCAACCAAAUAUAGGAAUCUGAAACUUCUCAUAAUCAAACACCCAAAUGCGCUCGAUAACCACAAAUACGACAGAUUUGCAAAUUUGGGGUUUAAGUCCUUCACACUUGAUAUGUGCAUUGCUUCAGCUACCACUGUGACACCACUAUUCUGCAUAGUACUUUUAUCAUCUUGUUCUUUGGUAUAAAAUGUGUAUCCAUUAAUCGGUAUGCGCUAUAAAGAAAAACAUGGAAACUUGGACCAUAUGCUAAGCAUCUCAACCUUUCUGUUAUUGAAGCGAGAUCUGAAUAAUACUUUGAAUAAAUAUGAUCCUUAAACCAAGGUAUAAAACAUCGAUUGUGCUCUCGUACUAUCCAAUUUCAUUUCUAUUGGGAUUUAAACCUCGGAGAACAUCCUUGUGAAUUUCAACAUACGGCUCAACCUCAUUCUCAUUGUGCAGAACAUACAAAUGCACUUGAUCCCGUUCGACCUUGAUACUGCCACGAUUUUAUUUCCAAUUAGAUUUUUUCCUUCUUUCUUUUCGACAAGCUGAGACUUGGGAGUCCGAUUGACUGAACAUUAGACAAAUAUUCAGUACAAAACUCAAUCGCUUCUUCAACAAUGUAUCUUUCAACCAUACAACCUUCUGGUCGACUUCGGUUCUUCACGUACCCUUUUAAAUAUUUCAUAUAACGUUCAAUAGGGUACAUCCAUCUCAUAUAAGCUGGUCCACACAAUUGUGUCUCUUUAACAAGAUGAACAACUAGAUGUACCAUUAUGUCAAAAAAUGAUGGAGGAAAAAACAUUUCAAGCUCACACAAAGUAUAACGAUUUCUUUUUGCAACAUUGGUAAGAUCGCAGGAUUGAUCACCUUACUGCAAAUUGACUUGAAGAAAGAACACAACUUAGUUUAGAGCUUCUUACUUUUUCUGGAAGAAUAGAACGUAUACCUAUUGGGAGAAAAUGUUCCAUUAUAACAUGGCAAUCAUGGGUCUUUAAACUCUUUAACUUGAGGUCUUUCAUAGACACAAGUCUUCUAAUAUCUGAAGAGUACCCUUCUGGAACUUUAACUUCACUUAGAAACUUACACAAUGUUUUUUUUCUCCUUUCUAAAUAGAGUAUAAGCAGCAGGCGGUAGAUAUGUUCGUUUUCCUUUCUUCAAGGGUCCAAUUCAGUUCUAUUCCCAUCGUAUCAAGUCCUUUUUGCCUUAAGGCCAUCCUUAGACUUUCCUUGUAUAUUGAGUAACGUGCCAAUAACACUUUAAAAUACAUUUUUUUCAAUAUGCAUAACAUCAAGAAAUGUCUCACAUACAAGGACUUCCAAUACGGCAAUUCAAAAAAAACUGACCUCUUCUUCCACCCACUUUUGACAAGUGUGUGGCAAAAGGCUUGCCAAACUGAGUAUCCAAAUCUUUCACCUUUUCAAAAAUUUGAUCACCCGUCAAUAAUGGUGGAGCUCUGCCUUGUUCUGUCUCUCCAUUGAACGCCUUUCUCCAUCCACGGUAGUGAUGAUUUGAAUUUAAGAAUCUCCGAUGACGAGAAAGACAUUCUUCUGACCAAACUCCAAGCGCUUCCAAUCUGUUUUAUCUUCACAAACAGGACACGCACAUUGACCUUUUAUGCUAUACCCUGAUAGAUUUCCGUAUGCUGGAAAAUCAUUAAUUGUGCCAAACAACAUCGCCCUCAAGUUGAACUUUCUUCCUAUAUCCAUCAUAAACCUCCAACCGGUCUCCACAAAAUCUUUAAAUCUUCGAUUAAGGGCUUCAAGUACACGUCUAUGUCAUUCCCUGGUUGUUUAGGUCCAGAAAUCAACAUAGACAACAUCAUGUACUUACGCUUCAUACAUAGCCAUGAGGUGGUUAUAAAUCAUAAUAAUCACAGGCCAUGUACUGUGUGAGAUACUCUGGAUACCGUGUGGGUUCAUUCCAUCAGUAGAUAAUGCCAAGCGAAGGUUUCUUGAUUCUUCUCCAAAUUCAGGAUAUCAUUAUCAAUUUUCAACCACUGUGGUGAAUCUGCCGGAUGUCGAUACUUUCCAUCUAUAAUUCUUUCAUCUGCAUGCCAGGUCAAGUGUCUUGAAUCGGUUUCACUACGAAACAUGCGUCUAAAUCUCGGAAUAACAGGAAAAUACCACAAGACCUUUGCUGGAGACAACUUGUUCUUAUAUCGCGAGACACCGCAUUAUGACACUCAUUUAACGAUGCAAUCUCAUUUCGAAACAAAAACGCAAUCGUUUGGACAUGCAUGUAUCUUAUCAUAGCUCAUGCCAAUAGAGCACAACAUCUUUUUGGUCUCAUAUGUUCGAUUGGGAAGAACAUUAUCCUCAGGAAGCAUAUCUUUCAAAAGGGCUAAUAACUCUGUGAACUUUUAUCCGACCCACAUUGCCCGCCUUUAGUUGUACAACUUUAAUACCGUAGACAAUCUUGUGAAUUUAGUGCAACCAUCAUACAAAGGUUUCUCUGCAUCACUUACCAACCUCUCAAACAUUUCGGGACAAUCCUUAAGAUCUCCUUCAAGUGCUUCUGCAAUCUCUUCAACUCGAUCACAAUCGUAUGUAUCUGCGCCACUAUAGUUUGAGGCAUAGGUCGUACUAUCCCCCGGUUCAACAUUCUCGUUACUUUUCUCACCAUGCAAAUUCCAACAUGUAUAACUUCGAUCAAUUCCAUGCCUCAUUAGAUGCGAUGUCAACUGAACUGCGUCAACCUGUUUCCCAUAACAACAACCCAAGCAAGGACAUAUCAUUCUACUGGGGUCUUCGGCGUACGCAACGGCAAACUUAACGAAUUCUGAUACCCCAUUCUCGUACUCUCUCGACAAUCGAUUGGAAGACAUCCAUGUAUUAUCCAUUACUAAUUAGAAUAAAUAAAAAACAAUUUCAGAAGAGUUCAAACACAUUCGGACCUAGGUUUCUAAUGAUACUGGUGUUGCACAAAAUCAGAUGUUUCAUAGGUCGUAUAACCCAUUGCAUCCGCAAUCAUGGUCACUAAAAACCAACCGUCAAUUUCCUAGUGCAUCGCUAUCAUGGUCGAAACAAACGUAGAAGGAGGAAACGCGCAGUAAUAAGGUAAAACAGAAAUUGGGCAAAGCUAAAACAAAGCAAUAACAUAAAACAGUAAUUGGGAAAAGCGUGUACCUUUGAUUGGUAGAAGGAGGAAACGCGCAUGUAGAUCUAACAGAGGUGGAAGGAAAACGCCUCAGAACCCUAACGUGAAAAAACGCUAAUAACAGAUAGUGAAAUAACAAAACGCGCAGUAUGUUAUAAUUUUAAUGUUUACUAAAGGGGACAUUAGAGGGCGCUUGUGGAAAAAAAGCGCCCUCUAAAGGGGGCCUAAGAGGGCGCUUAUGAAAGCGCUCUCUAAGGCUUUCCAGAAGCGCUUUAUAAGCUGGAAAUGCACGUGAACUUAUAACAGCGCUUUAUUAAAAGCGCCCUCUAAGGGUAACCUUAGAGGCGCUUUCUAUAAAGCGCCAUGUAUUGUUGUCCCUCUAUCUCCUCCUUAUUUUUUCGUUUCACCUUAAAGGGCGCUUGUGGAAACAAAGCACCCUCUAAAGGGGGCCUAAGAGGGCGCUUAUGAAAGCGCUCUCUAAGGCUUUCCAGAAGCGCUCUAUAAGCUGGAAAUGCACAUGGACUUAUAACAGCGCUUUAUUAAAAGCGCCCUCUAAGGGUAACCUUAGAGGGCGCUUCUAAAAAGCGCCAUGUAUUGUUGUCCCUCUAUCUCCUUCUUAUUUUUUUCGCUUCACCUUAGAGGGCGCUUNNNAUAUUUAAUUGGUAACCUGUUCGCAUGCUGCAAAAGUGUAAAAUUCAUAUUGAUUUCAUCCUUUAAUCCAAUGUUAUACACCAUUAAUCCAUUGAUAUAUACAACAUGAAUCCAUUUAUAUACAACAUUAAUCCUCCAUAUAUACAACAUUAAUAUAUGAUUCUUUGAUCAACAAUAUCAACAACAUAUUCUCAAAGUACUACAAUUAAGAGAUAAAAACAUAGCAACCAACACCCAGUGACCACUGUAUCCAAAAGCUGUCUAGUAGUUCUAACCAAUACUAAACAAAAACGCCCAUCCACCCAUGGUGGCAAACAUGUUCUGUUUAUCCAAAAGCUGUCUAGUAGUUCUAUCGCACAUCCAUACAAAAUAAGGCUCAACCAACACAACAGAUGGCAGCAUAAGUAGUCCCCUGCAAAAAGAACACGUCCAAAUGCAAAUAACACAAAACUGUCAAAAGGCGAUUGAGCAACAAAUAGUAAACAAUGGCAUAAAGUUAAAUGACAUAGCUAAUAUUAC
rnacentral:lncRNA from 1 species